rnacentral:lncRNA from 1 species
CGUUGUCAAAUUGAUCUGAAAUUUUACAUACAUAUUUGUGGCACUGUGAUUGAAUAUAAAAAAUUUAUUCCUGCAAAAAAAUCAGUCAAAAAAGUCAAAAAAUCGAAAAAAAGAUGAAAUCCAAUAAAAAUUUAAAAAAAUUCAGCGGGUUGAGUUUGGUGCCCAAACUUUCCAGAUCAAAAAUUAAAUAUUUAAGGACAUUCGAGAUUUAAUUUUGUGAUUUUUUGAGAUCGGAAACACCUCGAACGAAAUUGUCAAGUUACUCCACAGUUUUUCGGGUUUUCUGUUUUCAGCAAUUUUUAUUGAUUCUUAGUUGUAGGUUUUCAUUUGUUUGCUUUUUAUUAUCCUUUUAAAAUAUCUAACACCUUCUUGUUUCUUGUGUUAGUAGGAUUUAAACGUGUGCACAAUCCUUCCUCAGUGCAACACGAAUCACUUGGUGUCUCGUCAGUUUUUGGCAUCCUAGUGCAAAUUAGGAUUCUUUGGUAGUUUGGUUCACACUCUCUAAUUGGUUGAUAUAAACUCUGAUAAAGAACUCACAAGAUUGAAUUCGACCUCAUUGAGAAUUUGAUUUUUCUUUUUGAGUGAUUAAUGGUGAGGUUUGCUAACUUUUAUUUUUGAGUGUUGAGUGUUUAUUUUUUACAGGUUUUGAAGAUGUCUAAAGGUGAUAAUAAUGAUGCACUUAUGAAAGUCCAACAACAGUUAGACAGACAUACUGUUGCAAUCACACAAAUAAAUGCUACACUUCAAGCAUUGAAUACUACUUUGAAUGAGGUACGAGUGAAUCAAAAACAUCAAUAUCGAGAUCCAAUUAAGGAAGAUAGGGAUAACCAGCCCCAUAGGUGCAACCCUCAACGUGUCCCUAGAAUGGAUGAUGAUUGUCAUGAUCAUGGACAAUCAUCUUUGGCAAAACCAAAGAGCGAGCAGCAACGAGAACAUCUCUUUCAUACUCGCUGCCACGUACAAGGUAAGCUUUGUAGAGUUAUUAUUGAUGGUGAAAGUUGCUCGAACAUAGCCAGCACGACGAUGGUGUAAAAGCUUUGCUUAACCACUACCAAGCAUCCACAACCUUAUCAACUACAAGGGCUUAGCAACGAAGGCCAAUUUAGGGUCACUCAACAAGUGCGCAUCGCCUUUUCUAUUGGUAAGUAUCAAGACGAAGUUGUGUACGACGUAAUGCCUAUUCAAGCCUGCCAUUUGUUGCUAGGAGAACCGUGGCAACUGGAUCGAAAAGUCACUCACGAUGGUCGUACCAAUAGGUAUUCUUUCAAGCAUCAAGGAAAGAAACUCACCUUAGUGCCGCUCACUCUAGAACAAGUCCAUGAGGACCAAAUCAAACUGAAAAAUUCUGUUAAAACAAGUGAGGAAAAAGAAAAAGAGAAUGAAAAAGAGCAAAAAGAGAUUGAGAGUGAAAAAGAAAUUGAGGAAAGAAGAGAAAAUGAAUUAGAAAAAGAAACAAAAGAAAAAGACAUGGAAAGGGUAGUGAGGAAUGUUUCCACUAACCAAGAUAUGAAUUUUUCUUGUGUUGCUACUUUUCAGGUUCCCGAAAGAUCGAAAGAUAACUUUCAACUUCAAUCCUCUCAAAUGAAAGACGCUUUCAUACGAUCAACUUAAGGAAAGAUGAAAUCACACUAGAUGAUCCCGAAGGUAAGCGAGGUAAGGAAAUUUUAGAAACCGAGUCCAGUGCAGAUUUGAAAAUUAUUGAUAAAACUUUUGGUGACUUAGUUCUUAAAAGAUCCCCUCAUUUUGAUCCGAUUAAUUGUUACUCUUCGAUUGUGGUUGAUAAAGUCAUUACGAAAAGAAGCGUGAUUUGUUAUUUUCUUGAUUUGCCUUGUGUAAAAUCCUUGAAUUUGUCCAAAUCUGUUUUGGAGAAUAAGGUAACGAAAUUUUCCAAAUUUGUUUUCAAUUUAUAUUCGUGCCUUAAACAGUUUAUGUGGUUGUACAUGAAGUUUGAGUUCCAUUUGACAAACGUUAACUCAACAAUGAAGAUUCGAUUACACUAUGCCCCCGAUGAGCGAAGGUUUGUUUUAAAUGAAAAAGGUAAAAUCGACCCUUAUUCUUCUGCUUAUCGAGGUAAGAUGCUUGAAACCUUUGAAACACUUUUGUACUCCUCGGAUAGUGAUAAAGAUCGUGUUGAUGAACACUUAGAUCGAAACGUGCUUGACUGUCCUAUUUUAUUUAUUGAUGAUCUAUCAGUUUUGAUGGUUGAUAAAAAGAUUCUUGUUUUUGAUAAUGCAUGUGUGAGUGAAUCUAUAGACCGUCGAUUAAUGCAUGGUAUGAUUAUGCAACUCUGUGAACCAUGUGAAUCUUUUCAAAUACCUACUUGUGACGAUUAUGUUUACCAUUUGAUUUAUUACUCCCAAUUUAUUCAUGGUUUGUGGGAACAAUGUGAGACGACUGAAUGCCUUAAAACAUGUCCAUCUUUGUUUCAAAUAUUUGACGAGGCAGUGGUGAGUAAAUUAGAUUGUUUGCAUGGUAAUCUGAAUCUGUCCAUUCACAUGCGUUAUACCUGUUCUAUUAUGCUUAUGAUUGGACUACAAGCUUAUUUCCGUUGCUAUUUACUAUCUCAUGGCUAUUCUUCUCAGUGGACUCAAUUGCCAUUAGUCCCGUUCGAUAGAGGAAAGUCGAGUUCAUUUGAUUUUUCAGAUUCGAGGACGAAUCUUUUUGAGGAAGGGGGGAAUGAUACGAGUCACAAAAGCCCAAAUUCUUGAAGGCGAGGCCCAAUAAGCAAAUUCCCAGCCCAAUCAAGAAAUCCAUCCAUACUUAGUUGAAAAUCAGGCCAAAUUGUCAAAGUGGCCAAGUUGUAAAGUUUUAUUUUUAUUUUUAUUUAUUUAUUUAUUUAUUUACUUAGUUUAAAUUUUUAUGUCAAUAUUCAGUCCAAGAGUCCCAGAUAAAAUGACCUUUGACCAAAUUUCCAUAUUAAAAUAAUUAGGAGUUUUUUUAUUUUAGUUUUCUAAUUAGAUUAGGACUAGUUAUAAGGCCUAUUUAAAGGCAUGGCUGUCCACCUUGUUAAACACUUAUCAUUAUUAUUAAAAUUUCAGAUUUGUUGAGAGCAGAAUUUUCUUUGAGUUUUCUCCAAGAUUUCUCUCUUGAGUUUUCUUUAGAAGUUGUUUUAACAAUCUUUUGAUUGUGGGAGCCAUCUUCAACCUUCUUCUUGCCAUUGAUAUUCUUUGGAGGGGAGAUUAGAGCCGUUUGAAGGGAUUUGUGAAAUCUUUCGGGAUUUCAAGAAUCUUUAGGACUUUCUUUAUUUCUUGCUGUUUCGUUUUAUUUCUUUAUUUCUACUUGUGCUGAAUCAUUAUCUAAUCUAUUUUCUGUUCUUAUUGUGUUUUCAGCCUUUUUCUAUCUUAAGGAAUUAGCCCAAAAAUCCCCAAUUUCUAGGGUUUUUCCAUACUCUUUUUGGGUGAAAUUAGAUUGUCGAAAUUUGGGAAAAACUAUCUUGGUGUUCAAUUGGGCAGAAUCACAAUCUCCUUGAGGGUUUCAAGAACCCUAACACUUAUUUCUAUUCUCAAUUUGAUUCUUUGCUGAUUUGGGGAUUUUAUUUCAGAUCUGAAAAUUCAAAAAUCUAAUCUUUUAAUUUUCUGUUUCGUUUCAGAUCUAAUUGUUUAGGGUUUUCGUAGGAGUUUCUCGUGACUUGGCAACUCGAUCUUGGUCCACGCGCAACCCCGUAUCACUACGACUUCAUCUUUCACCUUAACAAUAUAGGAACCGGGGUGACACUUUUUAGUGUUGAAUCACUCCUGACGUUAAGUUCAAUAUUCCAUCUCUAUUUUUUGUUAUUUCUUUCUUGUUAUUUCCAAAACCAAACCAACUACUCAACACCCAUCUUUGCUUCCCUUAGCCGAACCUCUCACCAUACACUUACCCCUUUUUGAACCCCAUUUGCUUCUAACAAGCCUAUUAAGCCUAUAAAUCCAAUCAAGGCCUCUUGCAAACCACUCUUCUCGAAGACGAUCAGGCACAUUGUGAAUUUUGACUCCAUCACCUGAGCCGGAUCACAUCAUUUGGUAUCAGAGCCUGUAAAAUGAAAAGCACCGACGUUCAUAGCAAGUUCGAAAUAGGUUUGUAAAAAAAAUCGAAAUUAAAAAAAACAAAAGUUUAUAUUUGAGUUUCUCCUAUUGUAAUUAUCAAGUAUUUGUGAAAAAAAUAUACAAAUUAUAUAUAAAAAAAAGAAAGUAUGAAGUGCUUAAUUUCUCUUCUCUAUUAUUCAAUACAAUUGUUUACGAUCGUCAAAGUGUUUAUUUCAAUAUCUUUGUAUCCCCCCAAAAUGCCACACUACAUGAAAUUUUUUUCUUUUAGUCUACCCCUAGACCGAUACAUUCUACCCUUUUAACCACUUUGAAGCCGACCCCAAAGCACCAAGAUGAGUCAAAGAAACAAAAUACAAGAUUAUGAGAGUAAGUAUGAGUGGUAAAAGGAAAAAGAGUGUGAGAACAUUCGAGUAUUAAAAAAUCCUUAAAAUGAGUGAAACACGAGCAUGAGUGAUAAAACAUUCAAUUUUCUUUCCGAGUGAAAUUGUGAGGUUUGUGGUGAGGACUUCAUUUUUCUAUUUUAAUUGUUUUUUUUAAAUCAUGUUGCGAGAAGAAUUUUUAGAAUUUCAAUUUCAGUAUUUGUUGAAAGAGAUGGAGUGCAUGCUCGACUGAAAAAUCAAGCCUAUCUAAGAAAAGCGAGAUCAUCGAGCAAGAGCCCAACAAGAGCAAAGUUCAUCAAGUCGAGGGACAGAUUCAAGACUAUCAAGAAAACAAUCGUUCAAUGACUAUUUGGGAAGAGACCUAUAUUGUGAUUCUUUUUCAUCAAGGAAUUCGAGACGAAAUCAAAUAAUUUUCGAGUUUGAAGCCUAUUAUGGUGGCAAACAAGAAAGCACAAGUCGAUCUUUGUGUACACCAUGUUAUUCAUCCUUGAAGAAUCAAUCUCAAAGAGAUGAUCGUCGUCUGUAUGAAGAUCCCUCCUUUCAUUCUCAACAAAAAGUCUCUCAUUCUAAUUCCUUCUUGUAUUCUUCCUCUUGUAAUAAAAUAAAAAAAGAGUGUGAAAGAAAAAAAGAAAUGAAAGAAAAAUAGCAUGAAAGAGAGCAAAAAGAAAGUGAGGAAAAGAAAAACGAAAUUGAAAAAGAAAAAGGAUUUGAUCAAGAAGAGAAAAUUGAAAAAGAGAGUGAGUAUGAAGAAAGAAAGAAAAAUGAGCAAGAAGUGAGUGUUGUUGAAAGAGAACGUGAGCUAGAAAAAGAAACAAGUGGAAGAGAUGAGAGAGAAUGAGAAAAAGUGAGUGUUGUUUCAACUAAUCCACAUGUGAGUUGUCCUUGUGCUGUUUCUCAUUUUCAGGUUUCUGAAGAAUCAUGUGACAAGUUCCAACUGCAAUACUUCCCUGAUGUGAGACGCUUCCAUUUGAUUGAAAAAGGUAAGGUUGUUGGUGGAAUCCAACCACAAGUGCUUAAAGGUAAGGAAUCUUUAGCAACCGAGCCACGGCAAACAGGUUUGAAAAUUGUAGUUAAAAUUUUUGAUGACUUAGUUUUUAGAAUGAUACGGACGCGCACGAACCAAGAUCGAGUUGCCAAGUCACGGGAAACUCCUACGAAAGCUCUAAACGAACAGAUCUGAAAAUUAAAACAAAUAACAAGAACAGCAAAAUAUUAGAUUCAGACCUAAAAUUAAAUCCCCAAAUUCAAUUAAAGGAGCAGCAAGAAACAAAGAAAUAGAAUAGAUGAAUCAAACGAAAUUGGAAGUAUAGAAAGAUUGCGAAUCGGUCAACAAAUUGAUUCGGCCAAGAAUGCCCAAUUUCCAGCAAUCAAUUGAUUCCCAAAUUGAAAGAAAUCCAAUCGGCCAAACCCUAGGAAUUGGGGAUUUUUGGGUUCGAAUGGGUGCUGCCAAUAGGAGAACAACUUAAACGAUGAGAUCUUGAGUUUAAUCAAUGCUGGAAAACAAACAAGAACAGCAAAAUAUUAGAUGAGAAAUCGGCACAAGUAUAAGCAAAGAAAAGUAAAGAAAUAAAUUGAUACGGAAUGCGCGUGGACCAAGAUCGAGUUGCCAAGUCACGGGAAAUUCCUACGAAAGCUCUAAACGAACAAAUCUGAAAUCAAACAAAGAACGAGAUUAAAUCUGGAAAAUUAAAAUCUGGAAUAAGAACCCUAAAAAUUAGCAAGAUCUAAUCAAGGAACGAAACACUUAUGAAAGAGGUUUGUUGAAACCAAGAACACGAAAUUGAUUCCCAAGAAUAAACUCCCACAAGCCGAAUCUGUCAAAGAACACCAAAUCAGCAAGCAAAUUAGAUCGACCAGAAUUUCUUGAAACAAAUUAGGGUUUAUGCGUCAAUGAGAAAGAAAGAAAUUGAAGGCAUAAAACGGCUAUUGAGGCUGAGAAAGCGAGGGCGAUCUGCUCAAUUGACCACCACGAACGUUUCCCCUAAGUUUCCACAACCAAAUUCACCCAAGAAGAAUAAGUGUGCAUUCGGCAAGAACCCUAGAAUUUGGGGAUUUAGGGCUGAUUGUCGAACUCUAGCAAAAAGUGAACUUGAUCAAUUCUUUAAGAUAAACGAGGGCUGGAAACACAAAUAAAACAUCAAUUAGAUUAGAAUUGAGAUUCGGCACAAGUAGAAGUAAAUAAAAGAAAUUGAACCGCAAAAAUUAAAGGAUAAGUCCUAAAGAUCCUUGAAAUCCUGAAAGAUUUCACAAAUCUCUUCAAACGGCUCUAAUCUCCCCUCCAAAGAAUAUCGAUGGCAAGAAGAAGGUUAAAUAUGGCUCCCACAAUCAAAAGAUUGUUAAAACAACUUCUAAAGAAAACUCAAGAGAGAAUUCUUGGAGAAAACCCCAAAGAAAAUUCUGCACUCAACAAAUCUGAAAUUUGAUAGAAAAAAUAAUAAUGAGAUGUUUUCACAAAGGGUGGCUGGCCAAUGCUUAUAUAGGCCUCCAACAAAUCCUAAUCUCACAAGUAACUAAUAAAAAAUUAAACCUAAUUAAUAAAAUAACAAGGUAAAUUUGGCCAUGCACUUAUAUGGGCUGUUUUGGGCCGAAUUUUACAUGUAAUGCUCCUAAAGAUUAAAAAAUUAAAUUAAACAAGUAAGAUGUUUACAAAUUGGGCCCUUUGACAUUUUGGCCUGAUUUUCAACUAAGUAUGAAGAAAUUUCUUAAUUGGGCUGGAUUUUGGUUAUUGGGCCCCACCUUCAAGAAUUUGGGCUCGUGAUCCAUCUCCUACCAAAAUUGGGUCGUUGACGCUCGUAAUGGAGAUCCAAUGCAUUUUGGCUGCAAGAUUUGGUUUCUUGGACCAAGAUUUCCAAGAUUUGAAAUCUUGAUUUUCUUGAUUCUUGAAAUCUCUUCGAACAGCAAAAUUGGGCCAAGAUUCGGUUUCUUGAUUUUCUUGAAAACAAGAAAGUGAAUCUUGAUUUUCUUGUUCUCUCGUGCAUGCAUCUAAGGCCUUGCUAACAAGCUCUUGAAUGGUCCCAUUUAGUUUGGACCGCAUUUGUCGGGCCUUUGAUCUCGUUAUUGGGCCUUGUGGAAAUUUGAGCCCAUCACGUUCUUGAACUUGAAUUGGGCCUUUAUGACUCGUAUCAUUCCCCCUUUCCUCAAAAAGAUUCGUCCUCGAAUCUAAAAAAUCAAAUGGGGACAAGUCAGCCACAUUAAAAGUAGAACUUACAUUGUACUCACCAGGUAGAUCAAUUUUAUAGGCAUUAUCAUUGAUCCGCUCGAGUACUUGGAAAGGCCCAUCGCCCCUUGGGUCCAACUUAGUCUUCCUUUUUGUAGGAAAUCGUUAUUUCCUCAAAUGGACCCAAACCCAAUCUCCGGGUUCUAGUACAACCCGUUUGCGCCCUUUGUUUGCUUUGUUGGUGUUGCCGUCAUUUGUUUUGGCUAUUCGCUGUCUAGCCUUCUCAUGUAAGGAUUUCACCAACUCAGCUUUCUGUUCGCCAUCUAAAUUCAUAACGUGUUCAAGAGGUAAUGGCGCAAGAUCAAGUACUGUUAGUGGGUUAAAACCAUAAACAAGUUCAAAUGGGGAAUAACCAGUUGUAGAAUGAAUAGAUCUAUUAUAUGCAAAUUCAACAAAUGGUAGGCAUUCUUCCCAAUUUCUAAUGUUCUUUCCCACAACAGCUCGUAAUAAAGUCCCUAAGAUUCGAUUAACUACUUCAGUUUGACCAUCAGUUUGGGGCUGACAUGUAGUAGAAUAAUGCAAUUUAGUACCAAGCUUACCCCACAAUACCUUCCAAAAGUGGCUAAGGAAUUUGACAUCUCUAUCAGAAACAAUUGUUUUAGGGAUGCCAUGAAGUCUUACCACUUCUUUAAAGAAUAAGUCUGCCACAUGUGUAGCAUCAUCUGUUUUGUGACAAGGAAUAAAAUGUGACAUCUUUGAAAACCUGUCAACAACAACAAAUAUACUAUCUCUUCCUUUUUUUGUUCGAGGCAAACCUAAAAUAAAAUCCAUGGAUAAAUCUACCCAAGGUGAAGUAGGAAUCGGUAGAGGAGUGUAAAGGCCAUGAGGCAUUACCUUAGAUUUUGCUUGUUUGCAUGUAAUGCACUUGGAACAUACCUUUUCCACAUCCUUCUUCAUAUGUGGCCAAUGGAAGUGUUCUUUCAAUAUGUCUAGUGUUUUGGCCACUCCAAAAUGUCCCAUUAAUCCCCCACUAUGGGCUUCAUGAAUCAACAAUUCUCUCAUGGAACACUUUAGUAUGCAUAACCUGUUUAAACGAAAAAGAAAGCCAUCUACAAGAUAAAAUUUUUCAAAAGCAAUAUGUCCACAAUUCUUAUAGAUAUGGCUGAAAUCAGUAUCAUCAUCAUAUAACUCUUUAAUAUGUUCAAGCCCUAAGACUUUAGCAUUCAAUGUAGUUAUUAAAGUAUAUCGUCUAGACAAAGCAUCUGUGACUACAUUAUCUUUACCUAUUUUAUAUUAAAUCACAUAAGGGAAUGUUUCAAUGAAUUCUACCCAUCGGGCAUGUCUUUUACUCAACUUACCUUGUCCCUUUAACCAUUUAAGAGACUCAUGAUCUGUAUGUAUGACAAACUCAUUAGGCAGCAAAUAAUGUUGCCAUACUUGAGUGCACGAACUAAUGCCAAUAGUUCUUUGUCAUAAGUCGAGUAAUUUAACUGUGCACCAUUCAAUUUCUCACUAAAAUAAGCAAUAGGUUGCUUAUCUUGCAUUAAAACGGCGCCGAUUCCAAUUCCUGAAGCAUCACACUCAAGUUCAAAAGUUUUAGCAAAAUCAGGUAAUUUAAGCAAAGGAGCAGAACAUACUUAGCUUUUAGAGUUUGAAAAGCUUUUUCUUGGGUGUCACCCCAUUUGAAACUCACUGAUUUCUUUAUAACUUCAGUCAAUGGGGCAGCAAUAGUAGAGAAAUCUUUCACAAAUCGUCUAUAAAAACUGGCUAAACCAUGGAAAGAUCUCACCUCAGUUACCGAUUUAGGAGUCGGCCACUCCUUAAUUGCCUUAACUUUGUCCUCGUCGACAUGAAUACCUUGAGCACUAACUAUGAAACCUAAGAAUAUUAGUUUAUCACAACAGAAUGUGCAUUUAUCAAGGUUGGCAAAUAAUCUUUCAGUUCGUAGAAUAUCCAAAACGGUUCGAACAUGGAAAACAUGAUCAUCUAAUGACUUUGAGUAAAUUAAAAUAUCAACAAAGUAAACUACUACAAAUUUACCCAAAUGUAGCCUCAAAACAUGAUUCAUUAAUCUCAUAAAUGUACUAGGUGCAUUAGUAAGGCCGAAAGGCAUAACUAACCAUUCAUACAAUCCAAAUUUUGUUUUAAAGGCUGUUUUCCAUUCAUCCCCUUCCCUCAUUCGAAUUUGAUGAUAACCGCUUUUUAAAUCAAUUUUUGUAAAUAUUAUUGAACCAUGUAAUUCAUCAAGCAUAUCAUCAAGUCUAGGGAUUGGGUGUCAAUACUUUACCGUUAUCUUGUUGAUUGGGCGACAAUCAACACACAUACGAAACGUACCAUCUUUCUUUGGCACCAAUAAGACAGGAACAGCACAAGGACUUAGGCUCUCAUGAAUGUACCCUUUGUCUAGUAAUUCCUCAACUUGCCUUUGCAAUUCCUUUGUCUCCUCGGGAUUGCAUCUAUAGGCUGGUCGAUUUGGGAUUGAAGCUCCGGGUACUAAGUCAAUUUGAUGUUCUAUCCCUCGUAAAGGUGGUAAACCUUUAGGGGCCUCACUAAAAACAUCCUCAUAAUCCUGCAAAAGAGAUUGAAACACACUAGGCAAAUUUUCAUUAAUGUUAGAUAAAGAUAAAUAAUUUUGCCUAAACCUCACAAGGAUACAAGGCUCUUUUCUCUCUGUCUUUUGUACUUGCUCUUUCUCCCUUACCCCCUCACAAAAUUUUAUCAUCCUCAAUUGAUCUUUAUAUACAUCAGUAGGAUUUAAAGGAGCAAAAGUGAAUUUCUUGCCUUUAAAUACAAGGGAGUAUCGAUUAAGUUUACCUUGGUGUGUAGCAUCGCGAUCAAAUUGCCAAGGUCGUCCAAGGAGCAAGUGUGCCGCAUGCAUGGGGACUACAUCACACCAUACGUCAUCCUCAUAAUUGCCGAGUUUAAAAGUGACCAAGGACUGUUUCGUAACUUUAACUUCGGAACAUUCAUUAAGCCACUGAAGGUGAUAUGGCUUAGGGUGUUUGGUACAAGGAAACUUUAAAGAAUCCACCAAAUAACUACUCACUACAUUCGAGCAACUCCCACUAUCAAUAAUGAGUGAACAUAAGUUACCUUUAAUAAAACACCGAGAAUGGAAAAUAUUGGUCCUUUGGCUCUCAUCAUCUUUCAUCUGAAUGUUAAGGGUUCGGCGAACUACAAAGCAAUGGAAAUUAGCAAAGUCCCCUUCUUUUGGUGGUUCGACCAACUCUUCGCCAUUAUCACUGUCAUCCACAAGUUCUGGCAUAUCUGGAUCUGUUUUAUCAGAGUCGGAAGUGUACUCACCAUUAUCUUUCAGAAGAAGUAAUCUCGUGUUAGGGCAUUCCCUACUAUAAUGACCACGCCCUUUGCACUUAAAGCACUCAAUCUCACGAGUCCUCUUCGCACUCGAAUCUCCUAAAUUGGGCUACUUAGAAGGUGUUUGCGUUUUAACAGGAGCCCCUUUUUUCCAAUCUGAUUGCUUGCUUCCAUUACUCAAAGAAGGCUUGUUAGUAAUGAAAGGUGAUUUUGAGCUCUUAAAAUCAGAAUUGGAAUUGUUACCUCGGUAAUAUUGCAAAGUCGAGAAGGAACCAAACCUUUGUUCCUUUAGUUGUUGCUCGAUCUCAAUGGCUUUAUGAACUGCUUCUUCCAAAUCAAUGUAAGUUUGUAGCCUCAAUGUAUUAGCUAUCGGCCUGUUCAAACCAUCAAUAAAUUGAACCAUAGUUGUUUCUUCAUCCUCCACAUUAGCUCUCUGAAUGAGCAUCUCCAUCUCUUUAAAAUAUUCAUCCACUGUCCUACUACCUUGGAUAAGUCUUCUCAGCUUUGUUUUAAUUUCUCUAUAGUAGUGAGGUGGAAUAAACCUUUUACCGAAUGCAUAAUCAGAAAAUUCCAGUGUUGCUAACGCUACCUUUUCAUCAUCCGGACAUUUAUAAUACCGAAACAUAAGUUCAAUCUUAGAUUCCCAUUCACAAUAAGCGUCAGGAUCAUUCUUACCACGAAAUUGGGGAAUUGUGAAUUUCGGUUUUGCCAAAGAAGGUUGCCCACGAUCAUGAAAAUCAUCAUCCAUUCUAUUGACACGUCGAGGGCCGCGCCUCUUGGGUUGGUUAUCCCUAUCUUCUUUGAUUGGAUCUCGAUAUUGAGGUUCUUGAUUCAACUGCACCUCAUUGAUGGUAGAGUCAAAGCUCGAAGAGCAGCAGCCUGUUCAUCCAACUGUUGUUGGAAUUUUUUAAAUAUGUCACUAUUAUUAUCACCUGUAGACAUUUUUUUAAAACCUACAAAACACUCAACACUCAAAAAUAAAAGUUAUCAAACCUCACCGUUAAUCACUCAAAAAGAAAAAAUCAAAUUCUCAAUGAGGUCGAAUUCAAUCUUGUGAGUUCUUUAUCAGAGUUUAUAUCAACCAAUUAGAGAGUGUGAACCAAACUACCAAAGAAUCCUAAUUUGCACUAGGAUGCCAAAAACUAACGAGACACCAAUUGAUUCGUGUUGCACCGAGGAAGAAGUUGUGCACACGUUUAAAUCCUACUAACACAAGAAACAAGAAGGUGUUAGAUAACGUAAAGGAAGAAUAAAGGUAAACAAAUGAAAACCUACAGCUAAGAAUCAAUAAAAAUUGUUGAAAACAGAAAACCCGAAAAACUGCGGAGUAACUUGAAAACUUCGUUUGAGGUGUUCCCGAUAUCCAAAAAUCACGAAAUUAAAUCUGGAAUGUCCUUAAAUAUUGAAUUUUUGAUCUGGAAAUUUUGGGCACCAAAUUCAACCCGCUGAAUCUUUUUUUAAAAUUUUUAUUGAAUUUCGUAUUUUUUAAUUUUUUUGACUUUUUUGACUGAUUUUUUUGCGGGAAUAAUUUUUUUAUAUUCAAUCACAGUGCCAAAAACAUGUAUGUAAAAUUUCAGAUCAAUCAGACAAUGUUUACCCACUCAAAUGAAUUUUUUUUGAACAAUUUUUCUGGGUAAAACUGCUGUUUAUGCUUUAAAAAAUAGAGAUCAGUUUAGAAAUCAACCAAGAACACCCAAAACGCCCAAAAUCUGAUACAAAAUGAUACGGAAUGCGCGCGGACCAAGAUCGAGUUGCCAAGUCACGGGAAAUUCCUACGAAAGCUCUAAACGAACAGAUCUGAAAUCAAACAAAGAACGAGAUUAAAUCUGGAAAAUUAAAAUCUGGAAUAAGAACCCUAAAAAUCAGCAAGAUCUAAUCAAGGAACGAAACACUUAUGAAAGAGGUUUCUUGAAACCAAGAACACGAAAUUGAUUCCCAAGAAUGAACUCCCACAAGCCGAAUCUGUCAAAGAACACCAAAUCAGCAAGCAAAUUAGAUCGACCAAAAUUUCUUGAAACAAAUUAGGGUUUAUGCGUCAAUGAGAAAGAAAGAAAUUGAAGGCAUAAAACGGCUAUUGAGGCUGAGAAAGCGAGGGUGAUCUGCUCAAUUGACCACCACGAACGUUUCCCCUAAGUUUCCACAACCAAAUUCACCCAAGAAGAAUAAGUGUGCAUUCGGCAAGAACCCUAGAAUUUGGGGAUUUAGGGCUGAUUGUCGAACUCCAGCAAAAAGUGAAAUUGAUCAAUUCUUUAAGAUAAACGAGGGCUGGAAACACAAAUAAAACAGCAAUUAGAUUAGAAUUGAGAUUCGGCACAAGUAGAAGUAAAUAAAAGAAAUUGAACAGCAAAAAUUAAAGGAUAAGUCCUAACGAUCCUUGAAAUCCCGAAAGAUUUCACAAAUCUCUUCAAACGGCUCUAAUCUCCCCUCCAAAGAAUAUCGAUGGCAAGAAGAAGGUUGAAGAUGGCUCCCACAAUCAAAAGAUUGUUAAAACAACUUCUAAAGAAAACUUAAGAGAGAAUUCUUGGAGAAAACCCCAAAGAAAAUUCUGCACUCAACAAAUCUGAAAUUUGAUAGAAAAAAUAAUAAUGAGAUGUUUUCACAAAGGGUGGCUGGCCAAUGCUUAUAUAGGCCUCCAACAAAUCCUAAUCUCACAAGUAACUAAUAAAAAAUUAAACCUAAUUAAUAAAAUAACAAGGUAAAUUCGGCCAUGCACUUAUAUGGGCUGUUUUGGGCCGAAUUUUACAUGUAAUGCUCCUAAAGAUUAAAAAAAUAAAUUAAACAAGUAAGAUGUUUACAAAUUGGGCCCUUUGACAUUUUUGCCUGAUUUUCAACUAAGUAUGAAGAAAUUUCUUGAUUGGGUUGGAUUUUGGUUAUUGGGCCCCGCCUUCAAGAAUUUGGGCUCGUGAUCCAUCUCCUACCAAAAUUGGGUCGUUGACGCUCGUAAUGGAGAUCCAAUGCGUUUUGGCUGCAAGAUUUGGUUUCUUGGACCAAGAUUUCCAAGAUUUGAAAUCUUGAUUUUCUUGAUUCUUGAAAUCUCUUCGAACAGCAAAAUUGGGCCAAGAUUCGAUUUCUUGAUUUUCUUGAAAACAAGAAAGUGAAUCUUGAUUUUCUUGUUCUCUCGUGUAUGAAUCUAAGGCCUUGCUAACAAGCUCUUGAAUGGUCCCAUUUAGUUUGGACCGCAUUUGUCGGGCCUUUGAUCUCGUUAUUGGGCCUUGUGGUAAUUUGAGCCCAUCACGUUCUUGAACUUGGAUUGGGCCUUUGUGACUCGUAUCAUUCCCCCCUUGCUCAAAAAGAUUCGUCCUCGAAUCUAAAAAAUCAAAUGAACUCGACUUUCCUCGAUCGAACGGGACUAAUGGCAAUUGAUUCCACUGAAAAGAAUAGCCAUGAAAUAGUAAAUAGCAACGCAAGCAAGCUUGUAGUCCAAUUAUAAGCAUAAUAGAACAGGUAUAACGCAUGUGAAUGGAUAGAUUCAGAUUACCAUGCAUUAAUCGACAGUUUAUAGAUUCACUCACACAUGCAUUAUCAAAAACAAGAAUCUUUUUAUCAACCAUCAAAAUAGAUUUAUCAUCAAUAAAUAAAAUAGGACAGUCAAGCACGUUUCGAUCUAAGUGUUCAUCAACACGAUCUUUGUCACUAUCCGAGGAGUAAAAAAGUGUUUCAAAGGUUUCAAGCAUCUUACCUUGAUAAGCAAAAGAAUAAGGGUCGAUUUUACCUUUUUCAUUUAAAACAAACCUUCGCUCAUCGGGGGCAUAGUGUAGUCGAAUCUCCGUUGUUGAGUUAACCUUUGUCAAAUAGAACUCAAACUUCAUGUACAACCACAUAAACUAUUUAAGGCACGAAUAUAAAUUGAAAACAAAUUUGGAAAAUUUUGUUACCUUAUUCUCCAAAAUAGAUUUGGACAAAUUCGAGGAUUUUACACAAGGUAAAUCAAGAGAAUAACAAAUCACGCUUCUUUUCUUAAUGACUUUAUCAACCACAAUCAAAGAGUAACAAUUAAUCGGAUCAAAAUGAGGGGAUCUUUUAAGAACUAAGUCACCAAAAGUUUUAUCAAUAAUUUUCAAAUCUGCACUGGACUCGGUUUUUAAAAUUUCCUCACCUCGCUUACCUUCGGGAUCAUGUAGUUUGAUUUCAUCUUUGCUUAAGUUGAUCGUAUGAAAGCGUCUUUCAGUUGAGAGGUAUUGAAGUUGAAAGUUAUCUUUCGAUCUUUCGGGAACCUGAAAAGUAGCAACACAAGAAAAAUUCAUAUCUUGGUUAGUGGAAACAUUCCUCACUACCCUUUCCACGUCCUUUUCUUUUGUUUCUUUUUCUAAUUCAUUUUCUCUUCUUUCUUCAAUUUCUUUUUCACUCUCAAUCUCUUUUUGCUCUUUUUCAUUCUCUUUUUCUUUUUCCUCACUUGUUUUAACAGAAUUUUUUAGUUUGAUUUGGUCCUCAUGGACUUGUUCCAGAGUGAGCGGCACAAAGGUGAGUUUCUUUCCUUGAUGCUUGAAAGAAUACCUAUUGGUAUGACCAUCGUGAGUGACUUUUCGAUCCAGUUGCCACGAUUCUCCUAGCAACAAAUGGCAGGCUUGAAUAGGCAUUACGUCGCACACAACUUCGUCUUGAUACUUACCGAUAGAAAAGGCGAUGCGCACUUGUUGAGUGACCCUAAAUUGGCCUUCGUUGCUAAGCCCUUGUAGUUGAUAAGGUUGUGGAUGCUUGGUAGUGGUUAAGCAAAGCUUUUCCACCAUCGUCGUGCUGGCUAUGUUCGAGCAACUUUCACCAUCAAUAAUAACUCUACAAAGCUUACCUUGUACAUGGCAGCGAGUAUGAAAGAGAUGUUCUCGUUGCUACUCGCUCUUUGGUUUUGCCAAAGAUGAUUGUCCAUGAUCAUGAAAAUCAUCAUCCAUUCUAGGGACACGUUGAGGGCUGAACCUAUAGGGCUCCUUAUCCCUAUCUUCCUUAAUUUGAUCUCGAUAUUGAUGUUUUUGAUUCACUCGUACCUCAUUCAAAGUAGUAUUCAAUGCUUGAAGUGUAGCAUUUAUUUGUGUGAUUGCAGCAGUAUGUUCGUCUAACUGUUGUUGGACUUUCAUAAGUGCAUCAUUAUUAUCACCUUUAGACAUCUUCAAAACCUGUAAAAAAUAAACUGAUAGAGGAAUGCGCGCGGACCAAGAUCGAGUUGCCAAGUCACGAGAAACUCCUACGAAAGAUCCUAGAUGAACAGAUCUGAACUCAAAAACAAAGAUUAAGAUUAAACCGAAUCAGAUUUGAAUUUAAAAUUCCCAAAUUCAAUUAAAAGAGUAGCAAGAAGAAAAGAAAUAGAAUCGAUGAAUCAAACGAAAUUGAGAAGAAAGAAAAGAUGCGACUCUGCCAAGGAAUUGAUUCGGCCAAGAAUGCCCAAUUUCCAGCAAUCAAUUGAUUCCCAAAUUGAAAGAAAUCCAAUCGGCCAAACCCUAGGAAUUGGGGAUUUUUGGUUCGAAUGGGUGCUGCCAAUAGGAGAACAACUUAAACGAUGAGAUCUUGAGUUUAAUCAAUGCUGGAAAACAAACAAGAACAGAAAAAUAUUAGAUGAGAAAUCGGCACAAGUAUAAGCAAAGAAAAGUAAAGAAAGAAAUCAAAAACAGCAAGAAUUAAAGGAUAAGUCCUAAAGAUCCUUGAAAUCCCGAAAGAUUUCACAAAUCUUUUCAAACGGCUCUAAUCUCCCCUCCAAAGAAUAUCGAUGGCAAGAAGAAGGUUGAAGAUGGCUCCCACAAUCAAAAGAUUGUUAAAACAACUUCUAAAGAAAGCUCAAGAGAGAAUUCUUGGAAAAAACUCCAAAGAAAAUUCUGCACUCUAACAAACUAAAAUUUAAUGUAUUGAAUGAUAAUAAGGUGUUUUUACAAAGGGUGGCUGGCCAAUACUUAUAUAGGCCUCCAACAAAUCCUAAUCUCACAAGUAACUAAUUAAAAAUUAAACCUAAUUAAUAAAAUAACAAGGUAAAUUCGGCCAUGCACUUAUAUGGGUUGUUUUGGGCCGAAUUUUACAUGUAAUGCUCCUAAAGAUUAAAAAAUUAAAUUAAACAAGUAAGAUGUUUACAAAUUGGGCCCUUUGACAUUUUGGCCUGAUUUUCAACUAAGUAUGAAGAAAAUUCUUGAUUAGGCUAGAUUUUGGUUAUUGGGCCUCACCUUCAAGUAUUUGGGCUCAUGAUCCAUCUCCUACCAAAAUUGGGUCGUUGACGCUCGUAAUGGAGAUCCAAUGCGUUUUGGCUGCAAGAUUUGGUUUCUUGGACCAAGAUUUCCAGGAUUUGAAAUCUUGAUUUUCUUGAUUCUUGAAAUCUCUUCGAACAGCAAAAUUGGGCCAAGAUUCGAUUUCUUGAUUUUCUUGAAAACAAGAAAGUGAAUCUUGAUUUUCUUGUUCUCUCGUGUAUGAAUCUAAGGCAUUUCUAUCAAGCUCUUGAAUGGUCCCAUUUAGUUUGGACCGCAUUUUUCGGGCCUUUGAUCUCGUUAUUGGGCCUUGUGGCAAUUUGAGCCCAUCACGUUCUUGAACUUGGAUUGGGCCUUUGUGACUCGUAUCAUAGAAGAUCUCCUAUUUUUGACAUGGUCAAUUUCUAUUUGAUACGAGCACGCCCCGCGAACUUCAUCGAACAAGUCUGUCAAGCUGAGUAUUGACAUGUUGGCAAGCUGAUCCUAGCUCGUUUCUAGCUCCACGAGCUCCGUCCAGCUUAUUCGAGCUCAAUCCAUCUUGCAUGAGCUAAACCAAGCUCACUCCUAGCUCAUUUUCAACUCACGAGCUAAACCUUAGCUCAACUUCAGCUUAGGACUUUAGCCUCAGCUCAACGUUAGCUCACGAGCUAAAGCUUAGCUCAUUUUAGUUUAAACUCAGUUUUUUCUUUAAUGUAUUAAAUAAAAAUUUGCACAUAUUUAUUUAAGCAAUAAACUUGUCUUAUAUUAAUAUUUGUUAUUAAUAUGUCAUAGUCAUUACAUAAAUUGAUUAUGUUCACAUAGCCGAAUUAAUGUAUUACAUUAAUGUGUUCACAUCAUGCCGAAUUUAUGAGUGUUCAUGAGAUGUCUUAAUGACUUGUUUAUUUCAUGUAGGUACAUCCCUUUGGACAGCACAUGCAUGUAAGGAAUUAAUGCAAGGUGCUUGCAUAGAAAGGUUCAAUGGACGGCAAUCAAGAGGCUUAUGCAUGUUCAUGAUGGCCAUUCAUGUAUUUGAAGAUUCAUGGAUCAAAUUAAUGAUGGACCAUGCAUUGGACGGUUCAUGUAUUGAUCAUGUGUUCACACCAUGAUGACCAUUCGGUUGGAUGUUCACACACAAGAGUCUACUCAAGCUCCUUGUUCACACCAAGUUUGAUCCUUCAUGAAGCCUCAUUUAAUUAAGCCACUCAUGGUGAAAAAACAUGAAUUAAAGGCUCCAUUAAAGGAGUUAGCUGAAUCUAGCCUUGGAUGCAUGAAGAACAUUUAUCCAAGUACAUCAAUGCAUAUUCAUGAAGCUAACCACUCACCUCCCAUUCGGCCGAACAUGGACAAGAACAUCAUUGGACAUUUUUCUAGAAGUUUCAUGUUUUAAUUUGGUACAUUACUUAAUUGUUAAGUUCAUGAAUGGACUAUUCGGCUAGCAUAAGAUACUAGUAUAAAUAGUUGGUUAUUUUUAAUUGUAGGGGACUUUUUGCCAAAAUUUUUAUUGAAUUUAAUCUUGUGAGAAUUUUCUUCUCUAAACUUUGUUUGAGACUUUGUUGACUUAUCUACCUAGUAGUGGCGUCAACCCUAUUUCUUUCAAGCCUAUACCAAGGUUCCUAUCUUCAUAGAUAGUGGGUCGCGGCUUUAUCGUUUUAACCAUCCACCUUAAGAAACCAUAAGUUUCGGGUCGUCACUUUUUAGUGUCGGUUCUACUUGUUCUUAAGCUACCCAAUUCGAUACCCUACGACCACCCUUGUCAAACAUUAGCAACCAACACCACUCCAUCCUUUAUCGCCUAAGCCUUAAAGUUACGAAUGGAACUUCUCAUUAGGAUGAUUGGGCAACUCAGCAUACGACUCGUGAUACGAACCGUCUCGGGAAGAGUCGAGUCGUAUGUAAAUUGCCCGAUCGUCUACGAGAAGUUAUGUUAGGUUUAGUUGAGUUGAAGGUAUGGUCAAAGUAGAAGAGGGGUACGAAUGGAAUGGUAGGAAUGAAAGGGUAGGAACAAAAGGAUAUGAACAAAUUGGUCGGUUUAGGUUCGGUUAGGUAAAGAAGAAAGAACGGGUUUGAACUACUAAAGGUACUUUCAAGAACCAAAUACCGAAAAUGGUAUCGACCCAUUGAUUUAGCCUUUUGAGUUCGGUUAUAGGUUUGGUAAGGGAAACCUCGACCCACUAUCUAACAAGAUAGGAACCUCGGUAUGUUGAACGCCACACUACGAUUAGUGAUAAGUUCGGGUACGACAAAGAACACGGUUGACACAACUAGAACGCUAGGAGCGCCAAACGAAUCUUUGAACGAAAUAUAAGAAAAGUUUGCCUCACGAUUUUGGCAGCAUAACAUUAACAAAAGUUUCAAAAAGUCCUUUACAUGGAAAUUGAACAAGUAUUUAUAAGCCUAAGUUUAGGUAGCUGAAUGGCCUUUCAUACUUACACAUUAAUUAAAAGAAAAUUCUAGAAAAAUAACUCUUAAUAUGCAUGACCAGAUUCGGUUUUGGGAAUGGUGGAUGAAUGCAUCUUCAUGCUUAAGAAAACUCAAAGUGAAUGCAUGAUAUCCAAUGGUCACUUGUAGAUUCGGCCAACCUUGUUAAAUGAAGCAAUGUUUGGCCAAAAAGUAUGAAUUAAUUGUGGACACUCCAAGGGCCAUCAUGUGUGUGAAACCGAAUGUUGAAGAGUCUUCUAGUGUGAACAAGGUGAACCGAAUGGUCUUGCCAUGUGAACAUAGGUGUGAACGAAUUAAGGAGAGUCAUGGGGAAGCUAAUUGGCCAAGCUAUCUUAAUGCAUGUGUGAGUGCCCUUUGGCCGAAUGGUCACCUUGGAGAAUGAAGAGAUAGCACACCAUACAUGAAUGGAAACAUUCAUGAACCUUAAAGACAUUGAAUAUGGUCAUACAUGCACUUGGCUGAACAUGCACCUAAGAGAUUCAAGCCCCCCAACCGUCCAUGCACCUUCAAAAUUCAUGCUUGUUUUUAAUCUCCAUAUGUCCAUUGCGUUCCUACAAGAAAUGUGAACAUAAUUAAUUCAAACUAAUGUGAACACAAAUAUCAACAUUAAAUUCGGUUAUGACAAAUUUAAUUAUCAUCAAUAAACACUUUUAAGACAUACUUAAUAUAACAAAUGUGAACUAAAUUUAAUAUGUAGGAUAUUAAUUAACUAAUUAUUGAACUUAUUAAUUAAAAAGUCAAUAGUAGUAAAAUGAAUUCAAAGUGAACUCUAUGAGCUGAUGGUUAAUUCAUGAGUUAAACCCGAGCUGGGCCUAAACUCGUGAGCUGAUAAUGAGCUGGUCCCGAGCUAAUGAGCUGGUGUGGAGCUACAUGGGAGCUAACUUGAACUGAAGAUGAGCUUGGUGAGCUGAAAUGAACUUGUAGAAAAGUUUGGCAUGGAUUUCCAAAAUGGCCACUAACUGGUUCGAUAGGUCUAGCAUUGACAUCAUCCCACACAUGCUGAACUAAAGCUAUAACAGCUUCUUUAAAUUGUUUUCCACGAGCCCUUGUAAUCGGCCCUUGAGGUAGCACCAUCGGAUCUCGGCUUGGACUUGGCUUAUGGGAAGCCAUGAUCGUAUCAUCCUCCCCCUCUUGAAAAUGACUUGUCCUCAAGUCAGUAUCUACAUCGAAAGGAGUCAAGUCAGAGACAUUAAAACUAGCACUAACAUUGUACUCACCUGGUAAGUCAAGCUUAUACGAAUUUUCAUUGAUUCGCUCGAUGACUUGGAAGGGGCCGUCUCCUCGCGGCAACAACUUAGAUCUUCGUUGAGCCGGAAACCUUUCUUUUCUCAUGUGCACCAAGACCCAGUCUCCGGGUUCAAAUACAACUCAUUUUCGUCCUUUGUUGGCUCGUUGGACGUAUUGCUCGGUUUGAGAUUCAAUAUUCUCUCGGACUUUCCUAUGUAAUUCCUUGACAAAUUCAGCCUUUUUCCUUGCAUCUGUAUGGACAAAUUGAUCAACAGGAAAAGGUAAUAAGUUAAGAGGAGUAAGAGGAUUAAAUCCAUAGACAGUCUCAAAAGGAGAGAAUUUUGUUGCCGAGUGAACAGAGCGAUUAUAAGCGAACUCGAUGUGGGGUAAGCAUUCUUCCCACGUCUUCAGGUUCUUUCGUACCAAUGCUCACAACAACGUUGACAAAACUCAAUUUACCACCUCGGUUUGGCCAUCUGCUUGGGGAUGACAAGUGGUUGAAAACAACAACUUCGUCCCAAGUUUUCCCCAUAAUGUCCGCCAAAAGUGACUCAAGAACUUUGUAUCUCGAUCGGAAACAAUCGUUCUUGGUAAUCCAUGCAGUCGUACAAUUUCCCUAAAAAACAAAUUAGCAAUAUGCACAGCGUCAUCAGUUUUAGCACAAGAAAUAAAAUGUGACAUUUUAGAGAAUCUAUCGACUACAACAAAGAUUGAGUCCUUCCCUGUCUUAGUUUUCGGUAAUCCAAGAAUAAAAUCCAUAGAGACAUCGGUCCACGGGGUGUCGGGAAUGGGAAGUGGUGUGUAAAGUCCAUGUGGUUGGACCUUCGACUUAGCCCGUUUACAAAUUAGGCAGCGUUCACAGAUCCGCUCCACGUCUCUCCGCAUUCGCGACCAGUAAAAAUGUUCAUGGAGGGUCGACAAUGUCUUGCUUAUUCCAAAGUGUCCCAUUAGGCCACCACUAUGCGCCUCCAACACAAGUAACUCUCGAAUGGAGCCUUGUGGUAUACACAACCUAUUUUCUUUAAAAAGAAACCCUUCGUACCUGAAAAAUUUCUCAAAAGACCCAUUUUCACAAGCAGCAUAUAUAUUUCCAAAAUCCUCAUCAUUAGCAUACAACUCUUUCAUAUGAUAAAAAUCAAGUAACUUAGAAUCAAGAGUGGUCAAUAAGGUAUAUCUCUGUGACAAGGCAUCAGCCACUACAUUUUCUUUACCUUUCUUGUAUUUGAUGACGUAGGGAAAUGACUCUAAAUACUCGACCCAUUUUGCAUGUCGUUUGUUGAGUUUAUGCUGACCUUUAAUAAACUUAAGUGCUUCGUGAUCGGAAUGAAUCACGAACUCCUUCAGUCUUAGAUAGUGCUGCCAGGUUUCAAGUGAUCGAAUCAAGGCAUACAUCUUUUUGUCGUACACCGGAUAAUUGAGGGAAGCGCCACUUAAUUUCUCACUGAAGUACGCCACCGGUCUUCCGUCUUGGGUCAACACAGCCCCGAUCCCUACACCUGAAGCGUCACACUCAAUUUCAAAUGCUUUAGUAAAAUCUGGAAGGGACAAUAGAGGAGCUUUCACAAGACAUUCUUUAAUCAAAUUAAAUGAACGUUCUUGAUCUUCAGACCAGUGAAAUGCAGAGUUUUUCUUAAUCACGCUUGUUAAGGGUGCUGCAAUGGUACUAAAGUUGGGCACAAACCGACGGUAGAAGCUAGCCAAUCCAUGGAAGCUUCGAACUUGGCUAAUGUUCGUCGGACGCGGCCAUUCUUGAAUCGCUUGAACUUUUUCUUGAUCCACCUCCAAACCGUUGGCACUCACGACAUAACCUAAAAACACAACUUUAUCAAUGCAAAAUGAACACUUUUUGAGAUUAGCAUACAAUACCUCUUUUCGUAAAGUUUCCAACACCGCUCGUAAAUGUGGUACGUGCUCCUCUAAAGUUUUGCUGUAGACCAAGAUAUUAUCAAAGUAUACAACACAAAAUUUACCAAUAAACGCACGUAAUACAUGGUUCAUCAAUCUCAUAAAAGUGCUGGGAGCAUUUGUAAGGCCGAAUGGCAUUACCAACCAUUCGUACAAACCCAAUUUCAUUUUGAAGGCCGUCUUCCAUUCAUCGCCUUCUCGCAUUCGUAUUUGAUGAUAGCCACUUUUAAGAUCGAUUUUCGUGAAAAUUUGGGCUCCACUUAAUUCGUCAAGCAUGUCAUCAAGACGGGGUAUCGGGUGUCGAUACUUGAUAGUUAUUUUGUUGAUGGCACGACAAUCCACGCACACCCUCCACGACCCAUCUUUCUUGGGUACAAGCAGCACCGGCACUGCACAGGGACUUAAGCUCUCUCGGAUGUAUCCUUUGUCUAGGAGUUCAGUAAUUUGCUUUUGCAAUUCCUUCGUUUCUUCGGGAUUACUCCGAUAAGCAGGACGGUUGGGUAGUGCAGCUCCGGGUACUAAGUCUAUUUGAUGUUCGAUGCCUCGGAUAGGGGGCAGCCCACUUGGUAUUUCGUCCGGAAAUAUGUCUUCAAAUUCCUGAAUCAAAGACAAUACAGAAGCAGGCAAGUUUUCAGGUAACUCGUUAGUAUUCAACAGUGCCUCCUUGUACAUAAAUACAUACAUAGGCUGUCUCAAAAACAUCGCUCGCUGGAUAUCACUAACCCUCACAAACACACUCAUUUUUCCACUUUCUUUUUCCUCUCCACUUUUUACUUGUUUUUAUUUCUUUUCAUUUUCUCUCGCAUUUUUAGUCUUUUCUCUCUCUUUUUCCUUAAUUUUCUCUUUUGCACUCUUUUCUUUUUCUCUCACUUGUUCCACUGAAAGUUUAAGUUUUUGUUGAUCCUCGUACACUUGCUUCGGAGUGAGGGGUGCAAGUGUCACGUUCUUGCCAAGAUGUUUGAAGGAGUAUCUAUUAGUGUAACCAUCAUGCAUCACCCGUCGGUCGAACUGCCAUGGUCGUCCUAGAAGUAAAUGGCCCGCGUGCAUCUGUACUACAUCGCAUAAUACUUCAUCAGAAUACUUCCCGAUGCUAAAGGACACUAGGACUUGUUUUGUCACUUUGAGUUCACCGGCAUCGUUAAGCCACUGAAGCUUGUAUGGAUUCGGGUGCUUGGUGGUUGACAGCCCCAACUUUUCUACCAUGAGGGUGCUUGCCACGUUUGUACAACUCCCUCCAUCGAUUAUGAUGCUACACACUUUCCCUUGCACUUGACAUCUCGAAUGAAAAAUGUUCUCACGUUGUUGUUCGUCUUCCACACUUUGAAGACUUAGGCUUCGCUUGACAACGAGUAACUCACCUUCAACGGGUUGUUCUAAGUCCUCCUCAACUUUGGAAUUCGAUUCAGGAUCGUUCUCUUCCUCGUACUCUGUUUCAAUCUCACCGUCGGCCCUUAUCACCAUGGUACGUCUAUUCGGGCACUGACUCGCUAUAUGUCCACGACCAAGACACUUGAAGCACUUUAUGUCCCUUGAACGGGCGGUGAUACGGGGUUGCGCGCGGACCAAGAUCGAGUUGCCAAGUCACGAGAAACUCCUACGAAAGAUCCUAGACAAACAGAUCUGAAAUCAAAAACAAAUAUUAAGAUUAAACCGAAUCAAAUUUGAAUUUAAAAUUCCCAAAUUCAAUUAAAAGAGCAGCAAGAAGAAAAGAAAUAGAAUCGAUGAAUCAAACGAAAUUGAGAAGAAAGAAAAGAUGCGAAUCUGCCAAGGAAUUGAUUCGGCCAAGAAUGCCCAAUUUCCAGCAAUCAAUUGAUUCCCGAAUUGAAAGAAAUCCAAUCGGCCAAACCCUAGGAAUUGGGGAUUUUUGGGUUCGAAUGGGUGCUGCCAAUAGGAGAACAACUUAAACGAUGAGAUCUUGAGUUUAAUCAAUGCUGGAAAACAAACAAGAACAGCAAAAUAUUAGAUGAGAAAUCGGCACAAGUAUAAUGAUACGGAGGCGCACGCGGACCAAGAUCGAGUUGCCAAGUCACGAGAAAUUCCUAUGAAAGCUCUAGACAAAUCAGAUCUGAAAUCAAAACAAAGAACAAGAUUAAACCGAAUCAGAUUUGAAUUUAAAAUUCCCAAAUUCAAUUAAAAGAGCAGCAAGAAGAAAAGAAAUAGAAUCGAUGAAUCAAACGAAAUUGAGAAGAAAGAAAAGAUGCGAAUCUGCCAAGGAAUUGAUUCGGCCAAGAAUGCUCAAUUUCCAGCAAUCAAUUGAUUCCCAAAUUGAAAGAAAUCCAAUCGGCCAAACCCUAGGAAUUGGGGAUUUUUGGGUUCGAAUGGGUGCUGCCAAUAGGAGAACAACUUAAACGAUGAGACCUUGAGUUUAAUCAAUGCUGGAAAACAAACAAGAACAGCAAAAUAUUAGAUGAGAAAUCGGCACAAGUAUAAGCAAAGAAAAGUAAAGAAAGAAAUCAAAAACAGCAAGAAUUAAAGGAUAAGUCCUAAAGAUCCUUGAAAUCCCGAAAGAUUUCACAAAUCUCUUCAAACGGCUCUAAUCUCCCCUCCAAAGAAUAUCGAUGGCAAGAAGAAGGUUGAAGAUGGCUCCCACAAUCAAAAGAUUGUUAAAACAACUUCUAAAGAAAACUCAAGAGAGAAUUCUUGGAGAAAACCCCAAAGAAAAUUCUGCACUCAACAAAUCUAAAAUUUGAUAGAAAAAAUAAUAAUAAGAUGUUUUUACAAAGGGUGGCUGGCCAAUGCUUAUAUAGGCCUCCAACAAAUCCUAAUCUCACAAGUAACUAAUAAAAAAUUAAACCUAAUUAAUAAAAUAACAAGGUAAAUUCGGCCAUGCACUUAUAUGGGUUGUUUUGGGCCGAAUUUUACAUGUAAUGCUCCUAAAGAUUAAAAAAAUUAAAUUAAACAAGUAAGAUGUUUACAAAUUGGGCCCUUUGACAUUUUGGCCUGAUUUUCAACUAAGUAUGAAGAAAUUUCUUGAUUGGGCUGGAUUUUGGUUAUUGGGCCUCGCCUUCAAGAAUUUGGGCUUGUGAUCCAUCUCCUACCGAAAUUGGGUCGUUGACGCUCAUAAUGGAGAUCCAACGCGCUUUGGCUGCAAGAUUCGGUUUCUUGGACCAAGAUUUCCAAGAUUUGAAAUCUUGAUUUUCUUUAUUCUUGAAAUCGCUCCGAACAGCAAAAUUGGGCCAAGAUUCGAUUUUUUGAUUUUCUUGAAAACAAGAAAGUGAAUCUUGAUUUUCUUGAUUUGAGCCCAUCACCUUCUUAAGCUUGGGUUGGGCCUUUGUGACUCGUAUCAUUCCCCCCUUCCUCAAAAAGAUUCGUCAUCAAAUCUAAAAAAUCAAAUGAACUCGACUUUCCUCGAUCGAACGGGACUAAUGGCAAUUGAUUCCACUGAAAAGAAUAGCCAUGAAAUAGUAAAUAGCAACGCAAACAAGCUUGUAGUCCAAUUAUAAGCAUAAUAGAACAGGUAUAAUGCAUGUGAAUGGACAGAUUCAGAUUACCAUGCCUUAAUCGACGGUCUAUAGAUUCACUCACACAUGCAUUAUCAAAAACAAGAAUCUUUUUAUCAACCAUCAAAAUAGAUUUAUCAUCAAUAAAUAAAAUAGGACAGUCAAGCACGUUUCGAUCUAAGUGUUCAUCAACAUGAUCUUUGUCGCUAUCCGAGGAGUACAAAAGUGUUUCAAAGGUUUCAAGCAUCUUACCUUGAUAAGCAAAAGAAUAAGGGUCGAUUUUACCUUUUUCAUUUAAAACAAACCUUCACUCAUCGGGGGCAUAGUGUAGUCGAAUCUCCGUUGUUGAGUUAACCUUUGUCAAAUGGAACUCAAACUUCAUGUACAACCACAUAAACUGUUUAAGGCACGAAUAUAAAUUGAAAACAAAUUUGGAAAAUUUCGUUACCUUAUUCUCCAAAACAGAUUUGGACAAAUUCGAGGAUUUUACGCAAGGUAAAUCAAGAGAAUAACAAAUCACGCUUCUUUUCGUAAUGACUUUAUCAAUCACAAUCGAAGAGUAACAAUUAAUCGGAUCAAAAUGAGGGGAUCUUUUAAGAACUAAGUCACCAAAAGUUUUAUCAAUAAUUUUCAAAUCUGCACUGGACUAGAUUUCUAAAAUUUCCUUACCUCGCUUACCUUCGGGAUCAUGUAGUGUGAUUUCAUCUUUGCCUAAGUUGAUCGUAUGAAAGCGUCUUUCAUUUGAGAGGUAUUGAAGUUGAAAGUUAUCUUUCGGUCCUUCGGGAACCUGAAAAGUAGUAACACAAGAAAAAUUCAUAUCUUGGUUAGUGAAAACAUUCCUCACUAGCCUUUCCUCGUCUUUUUCUUUUGUUUCUUUUUCUAACUCAUUUUCUCUUCUUUCUUCAACUUCUUUUUCAAUUUUCUUUUCUGUUUCACAUUCCUUUUCACUCUCAAUCUCUUUUUUCUCUUUUUCAUUCUCUUUUUCUUUUUUCCUCACUUGUUUUAACAACAGAAUUUUUCAGUUUGAUUUGGUCCUCAUGGACUUGUUCCGGAGUGAGCGGCACUAAGGUGAUUUUCCUUCCUUGAUACUUGAAAGAAUACCUAUUGGUACGACCAUCGUGAGUGACCUUUCGAUCUAGUUGCCAUGGUUCUCCUAGUAACAAAUGGCAGGCUUGAAUAGGUACUACGUCGCACACGACUUCGUCUUGAUACUUACCGAUAGAAAAGGCGAUGCGCACUUGUUGAGUGACCUUAAAUUGGCUUUCGUUGCUAAGCCCUUGUAGUUGAUAAGGUCGUGGAUGCUUGGUAGUGGUUAAGCAAAGCUUUUCCACCAUCGUCGUGCUGGCUACGUUCGAGCAACUUUCACCAUCAAUAAUAACUCUACAAAGCUUACCUUGUACAUGGCAGCGAGUAUGAAAGAGAUGUUCUCGUUGCUGCUCGCUCUUUGGUUUUGCCAAAGAGGGUUGUCCACGAUCAUGAAGAUCAUAAUCAGUUCUAGGGACACACCGAGGAGCGCGCCUAUGAGCAGGAGGCUGGCUAUCCACAUCGUCUUUAAUUUGAUCUCGACAUUGAGGCUCUUGAUUCAACCGCACCUCAUUGAUAGUAGCAGUCAACGCUCGAAGUGUAGCAGCCUGUUCGUCCAACUGUUGUUGGAAUCUUUUAAAUAUGUCAUUAUUAUCACCUUUAGACAUUUUCAAAAACCUGUAAAAAAUAAACACUCAACACUCAAAAAUAAAAGUUAGCAAACCUCACCGUUAAUCACUCAAAAAGAAAAUUCAAAUUCUCAAUGAGGUAGAAUUCAAUCUUGUGAGUUCUUUAUCAGAGUUUAUAUCAACCAAUUAGAGAGUGUGAACCAAACUACCAAAGAAUCCUAAUUUGCACUAGGAUGCCAAAAAACGGACGAGACACCAACUGAUUUGUGUUGCACCGAGGAAGAAUUGUGCACACUUUAAAAAUCCUACUAACACAAGAAACAAGAAGGUGUUAGAUAGUGUAAAGGAAAGAUAAAGGCAAACAAAUGAAAACCUACAGCUAAGAAUCAAUAAAAAUUGCUGAAAACAGAAAACUCGAAAAACUGCGGAGUAACUUGACAACUUCGUUCGAGGUGUUCCCGAUCUCCAAAAAUCACGAAAUUAAAUAUGGAGUGUCCUUAUAUAUUUAAUUUUUGAUCUGGAAAUUUUGGGCACCAAAUUCAACCCGCUAAAUCUUUUUUUAAAUUUUUAUUGAAUUUCGUAUUUUUUGAUUUAUUUUACUUUUUUGACUGAUUUUUUUGUGGGAACAAUUUUUUUAUAUUCAAUCACAGUGCCAAAAACAUGUAUGUAAAAUUUCAGAUCAAUAGGACAACGUUUACCCACUCAAAUGAAUUUUUUUUGAACAAUUUUUCUGGGUAAAACUGCUGUUUAUGCUUUAAAAAAUAGAGAUCAGUUUAGAAAUCAACCAAGAACACCCAAAACGCCCAAAAUCUGAUACCAAAUGAUACGGAGGUGCACGUGGACCAAGAUCUAGUUGCCAAGUCACGAGAAAUUCCUAUGAAAGCUCUAGACAAAUCAGAUCUGAAAUCAAAACAAAGAACAAGAUUAAACCGAAUCAGAUUUGAAUUUAAAAUUCCCAAAUUCAAUUAAAAGAGCAGCAAGAAGAAAAGAAAUAGAAUCGAUGAAUCAAACGAAAUUGAGAAGAAAGAAAAGAUGCGAAUCUGCCAAGGAAUUGAUUCGGCCAAGAAUGCUCAAUUUCCAGCAAUCAAUUGAUUCCCAAAUUGAAAGAAAUCCAAUCGGCCAAACCCUAGGAAUUGGGGAUUUUUGGGUUCGAAUGGGUGCUGCCAAUAGGAGAACAACUUAAACGAUGAGAUCUUGAGUUUAAUCAAUGCUGGAAAACAAACAAGAACAGCAAAAUAUUAGAUGAGAAAUCGGCACAAGUAUAAGCAAAGAAAAGUAAAGAAAGAAAUCGAAAACAGCAAGAAUUAAAGGAUAAGUCCUAAAGAUCCUUGAAAUCCCAAAAGAUUUCACAAAUCUCUUCAAACGGCUCUAAUCUCCCCUCCAAAGAAUAUCGAUGGCAAGAAGAAGGUUGAAGAUGGCUCCCACAAUCAAAAGAUUGUUAAAACAACUUCUAAAGAAAACUCAAGAGAGAAUUCUUGGAGAAAACCCCAAAGAAAAUUCUGCACUCAACAAAUCUAAAAUUUGAUAGAAAAAUAAUAAUAAGAUGUUUUUACAAAGGGUGGCUGGCCAAUGCUUAUAUAGGCCUCCAACAAAUCCUAAUCUCACAAGUAACUAAUAAAAAGUUAAACCUAAUUAAUAAAAUAACAAGGUAAAUUCGGCCAUGCACUUAUAUGGGUUGUUUUGGGCCGAAUUUUACAUGUAAUGCUCCUAAAGAUUAAAAAAAUUAAAUUAAACAAGUAAGAUGUUUACAAAUUGGGCCCUUUGACAUUUUGGCCUGAUUUUCAACUAAGUAUGAAGAAAUUUCUUGAUUGGGCUGGAUUUUGGUUAUUGGGCCUCGCAUUCAAGAAUUUGGGCUUGUGAUCCAUCUCCUACCGAAAUUGGGUCGUUGACGCUCGUAAUGGAGAUCCAACGCGCUUUGGCUGCAAGAUUCGGUUUCUUGGACCAAGAUUUCCAAGAUUUGAAAUCUUGAUUUCUUUAUUCUUGAAAUCGCUUCGAACAGCAAAAUUGGGCCAAGAUUCGAUUUCUUGAUUUUCUUGAAAACAAGAAAGUGAAUCUUGAUUUUCUUGAUUUGAGCCCAUCACCUUCUUAAGCUUGGGUUGGGCCUUUGUGACUCGUAUCAUAUAAGCAAAGAAAAGUAAAGAAAGAAAUCGAAAACAGCAAGAAUUAAAGGAUAAGUCCUAAAGAUCCUUGAAAUCCCGAAAGAUUUCACAAAUCUCUUCAAACGGCUCUAAUCUCCCCUCCAAAGAAUAUUGAUGGCAAGAAGAAGGUUGAAGAUGGCUCCCACAAUCAAAAGAUUGUUAAAACAACUUCUAAAGAAAGCUCAAGAGAGAAUUCUUGGAGAAAACCCCAAAGAAAAUUCUGCACUCAACAAAUCUAAAAUUUGAUAGAAAAAAUAAUAAUAAGAUGUUUUUACAAAGGGUGGCUGGCCAAUGCUUAUAUAGGCCUCCAACAAAUCCUAAUCUCACAAGUAACUAAUAAAAAAUUAAACCUAAUUAAUAAAAUAACAAGGUAAAUUCGGCCAUGCACUUAUAUGGGCUGUUUUGGGCCGAAUUUUACAUGUAAUGCUCCUAAAAAUUAAAAAAUUAAAUUAAACAAGUAAGAUGUUUACAAAUUGGGCCCUUUGACAUUUUGGCCUAAUUUUCAACUAAGUAUGAAGAAAUUUCUUGAUUGGGCUGGAUUUUGGUUAUUGGGCCUCGCCUUCAAGAAUUUGGGCUCGUGAUCCAUCUCCUACCAAAAUUGGGUCGUUGACGCUCGUAAUGGAGAUCCAAUGCGUUUUGGCUGCAAGAUUUGGUUUCUUGGACCAAGAUUUCCAAGAUUUGAAAUCUUGAUUUUCUUGAUUCUUGAAAUCUCUUCGAACAGCAAAAUUGGGCCAAGAUUCGAUUUCUUGAUUUUCUUGAAAACAAGAAAGUGAAUCUUGAUUUUCUUGUUCUCUCGUGUAUGAAUCUAAGGCCUUGCUAACAAGCUCUUGAAUGGUCCCAUUUAGUUUGGACCGCAUUUGUCGGGCCUUUGAUCUCGUUAAUGGGCCUUGUGGCAAUUUGAGCCCAUCACGUUCUUGAACUUGGAUUGGGCCUUUAUGACUCGUAUCAUUCCCCCCUUCCUCAAAAAGAUUCGUCCUUGAAUCUGAAAAAUCAAAUGAACUCGACUUUCCUCUAUCGAACGGGACUAAUGGCAAUUGAGUCCACUGAAAAGAAUAGCCAUGAGAUAGUAAAUAGCAACGGAAAUAAGCUUGUAGGCCAAUCAUAAGCAUAACAGAACAGGUAUAACGCAUGUGAAUGGACAGAUUCAGAUUACCAUGCAAACAACCUAAUUUACUCGCCACUGUCUCGUCAAAUAUUCAAAACAAAGAGGGACAUGUUUUAAGGCAUUCUGUCGUUUCAAAUUUGUCCCACAAACCAUGAAUAAAUUGCGAGUAAUAAAUCAAAUGGUAAACAUAAUCGUCACAAGUAGGUAUUUGAAAAGAUUCACAUGGUUCACAGAGUUGCAUAAUCAUACCAUGCAUUAAUCGACGGUCUAUAGAUUCACUCACACAUGCAUUAUCAAAAACAAGAAUCUUUUUAUCAACCAUCAAAACAGAUAGAUGAUCAAUAAAUAAAAUAGGACAGUCAAGCACGUUUCGAUCUAAGUGUUCAUCAACACGAUCUUUAUCACUAUCCGAGGAGUACAAAAGUGUCUCAAAGGUUUCAAGCAUCUUACCUUGAUAAGCAGAAGAAUAAGGGUCGAUUUUACCUUUUUCAUUUAAAACAAACCUUCGCUCAUCGGGGGCAUAGUGUAUUCGAAGCUCCGUUGUUGAGUUAACCUUUGUCAAAUGGAACUCAAACUUCAUGUACAACCACAUAAACUGUUUAAGGCACGAAUAUAAAUUGAAAACAAACUUGGCAAAUUUCGUUACCUUAUUCACCAUAACAGAUUUGCACAAAUUCGAGGGUUUUACAUAAGGCAAAUCAAGAGAAUAACAACUCACGCUUCCUUUCGUAAUGACUUUAUCAACCACAAUCGAAGAAUAACAAUUAAUCAGAUCAAAAUGAAGGGAUCUUUUAAGAACUAAGUCACCAAAAGUUUUAUCAAUAAUUUUCAAAUCUGCACGGGACUCAGUUGCUAAAAAUUCCUUACCUUGCUUAUCUCCAGGCUCAUGUAGUGUGAUUUCAUCUUCAACCUUGCCUAUGUUGAUCGUAUGAAAGCUUCUUUCAUCGGAAAGGUAUUGGAGUUGAAAGUUAUCUUUCGUAUGUGGCCAAUGGAAGUGUUCUAUCCCACGUAAAGGUGGUAAACCUUUAGGGGUCUUACUAAAAACAUCCUCAUAAUCCUGCAAAAAACAUUAAAACACACUAGGCAAAUUUUCGUUAAUGUUAGAUAAAGAUAAAUAAUUUUGCCUAAACCUCACAAGGAUACAAGGCUGUUUAUUAAGUAGGGCUCUCUUCACAUCUUUUUUUGUUGCCAAAAGAUUUUUUCCGCUCAUUUUACCACUAGAGGAUUCACUCACCUUUGGGCUUUUUAAAUUUUGACUUUUUCCACUACUAUUAGCCUCUUUUCUCUCUGUCUUUUGUACUUGCUCUUUCUCCCUUACCCCCUCACAAAAUUUUAUCAUCCUUAAUUGAUCUUUAUAUACAUCAGUAGGAUUUAAAGGAGAAAAAGUGAAUUUCUUGCCUUUAAAUACAAGGGAGUAUCGAUUAAGUUUACCUUGGUGUGUAACAUCGCGAUCAAAUUGCCAAGGUCGUCCAAGGAGCAAGUGUGCCGCAUGCAUGGGGACUACAUCACACCAUACGUCAUCCUCAUAAUUGCCGAGUUUAAAAGUGACCAAGGACUGUUUCGUAACUUUAACUUCGGAACAUUCAUUAAGCCACUGAAGGUGAUAUGGCUUAGGGUGUUUGGUACAAGGCAACUUUAAAGAAUCCACCAAAUAACUACUCACUACAUUCGAGCAACUCCCACUAUCAAUAAUGAGUGAACAUAAGUUACCUUUAAUAAAACACCGAGAAUGGAAAAUAUUGGUCCUUUGGCUCUCAUCAUCUUUCAUCUGAAUGUUAAGGGUUCGGCGAACUACAAAGCAAUGGAAAUUAGCAAAGUCCCCUUCUUUUGGUGGUUCGACCAACUCUUCGCCAUUAUCACUGUCAUCCACAAGUUCUGGCAUAUCUGGAUCUGUUUUAUCAGAGUCGGAAGUGUACUCACCAUUAUCUUUCAGAAGAAGUAAUCUCAUGUUAGGGCAUUCCCUACUAUAAUGACCACGCCCUUUGCACUUAAAGCACUCAAUCUCACGAGUCCUCUUCGCACUCGAAUCUCCUAAAUUGGGCUGCUUAGAAGGUGUUUGCGUUUUAACAGGAGCCCCUUUUUUCCAAUCUGAUUGCUUGCUUCCAUUACUCAAAGAAGGCUUGUUAGUAACGAAAGGUGAUUUUGAGCUCUUAAAAUCAGAAUUGGAAUUGUUACCUCGGUAAUAUUGCGAAGUCGAGAAGGAACCAAACCUUUGUUCCUUUAGUUGUUGCUCGAUCUCAAUGGCUUUAUGAACUGCUUCUUCCAAAUCCAUGUAAGUUUGUAGCCUCAAUGUAUUAGCUAUCGGCCUGUUCAAACCAUCAAUAAAUCGAACCAUAGUUGUUUCUUCAUCCUCCUCCACAUUAGCUCUCUGAAUGAGCAUCUCCAUCUCUUUAAAAUAUUCAUCCACUGUCCUACUACCUUGGAUAAGUCUUCUCAGCUUUGUUUUAAUUUCUCUAUAGUAGUGAGGUGGAAUAAACCUUUUACGCAUAAUCUGUUUCAACUCAUCCCAUGUCGAAAUCUCACCUUCAUAAUUCCGAUGGCGGUUUACCCCAAGUUGAGUCCACCAACUUAAUGCAUAAUCAGAAAAUUCUAGUGUUGCUAACGCUACCUUUUCAUCAUCUGGACAUUUAUAAUACCGAAACAUAAGUUCAAUCUUAGAUUCCCAUUCACAAUAAGCGUUAGGAUCAUUCUUACCACGAAAUUGGGGAAUUGUGAAUUUUGGUUUUGCCAAAGAAGGUUGCCCACGAUCAUGAAAAUCAUCAUCCAUUCUAGUGACACGUCGAGGGCCGCGCCUCUGGGGUUGGUUAUCCCUAUCUUCUUUGAUUGGAUCUCGAUAUUGAGGUUCUUGAUUCAAUCGCACCUUAUUGAUGGUAGCAGUCAAAGCUCGAAGAGCAGCAGCCUGUUCAUCCAACUGUUGUUGGAAUUUUUUAAAUAUGUCACUAUUAUUAUCACCUAUAGACAUUUGUUUUUAAAACCUGCAAAACACUCAACACUCAAAAAUAAAGGUUAUCAAACCUCACCGUUAAUCACUCAAAAAGAAAAAAUCAAAUUCUCAAUGAGGUCGAAUUCAAUCUUGUGAGUUCUUUAUCAGAGUUUAUAUCAACCAAUUAGAGAGUGUGAACCAAACUACCAAAGAAUCCUAAUUUGCACUAGGAUGCCAAAAACUGACGAGACACCAAUUGAUUCGUGUUGCACCGAGGUAGAAGUUGUGCACACGUUUAAAUCCUACUAACACAAGAAACAAGAAGGUGUUAGAUAACGUAAAGGAAGAAUAAAGGUAAACAAAUGAAAACCUACAGCUAAGAAUCAAUAAAAAUUGCUGAAAACAGAAAACCCGAAAAACUGCGGAGUAACUUGACAACUUCGUUCGAGGUGUUCCUGAUCUCCAACAAUCACGAAAUUAAAUCUGGAGUGUCCUUAUAUAUUGAAUUUUUGAUCUGGAAAUUUUGGGAACCAAAUUCAACCCGCUGAAUCUUUUUUAAAAUUUUUAUUAAAUUUCGUCUUUUUUGAUUUUUUGACUUUUUUGACUGAUUUUUUUGUGGGAAUAAUUUUUUUAUAUUCAAUCACAGUGCCAAAAACAUGUAUGUAAAAUUUCAGAUCAAUCGGAUAACGUUUACCCACUCAAAUGAAUUUUUUUUGAACAAUUUUUCUGGGUAAAACUGCUGUUUAUGCUUUAAAAAAUAGAAAUCAGUUUAGAAAUCAACCAAGAACACCCAAAACACCCAAAAUCUGAUACCAAAUGAUACGGGGUUGCGCGCGGACCAAGAUCGAGUUGCCAAGUCACGAGAAACUCCUAUGAAAGAUCCUAGACGAACAGAUCUGAAAUCAAAAACAAAGAUUAAGAUUAAACCGAAUCAGAUUUGAAUUUAAAAUUCCCAAAUUCAAUUAAAAGAGCAGCAAGAAGAAAAGAAAUAGAAUCGAUGAAUCAAACGAAAUUGAGAAGAAAGAAAAGAUGCGAAUCUACCAAGGAAUUGAUUCGGCCAAGAAUGCCCAAUUUCCAGCAAUCAAUUGAUUCCCAAAUUGAAAGAAAUCCAAUCGGCCAAACCCUAGGAAUUGGGGAUUUUUGGGUUCGAAUGGGUGCUGCCAAUAGGAGAACAACUUAAACGAUGAGAUCUUGAGUUUAAUCAAUGCUGGAAAACAAACAAGAACAGCAAAAUAUUAGAUGAGAAAUCGGCACAAGUAUAAGCAAAGAAAAGUAAAGAAAGAAAUCAAAAACAGCAAGAAUUAAAGGAUAAGUCCUAAGAUCCUUGAAAUCCCGAAAGAUUUCACAAAUCUCUUCAAACGGUUCUAAUCUCCCCUCCAAAGAAUAUCGAUGGCAAGAAGAAGGUUGAAGAUGGCUCCCACAAUCAAAAGAUUGUUAAAACAAUUUCUAAAGAAAGCUCAAGAGAGAAUUCUUGGAGAAAACCCCAAAGAAAAUUCUGCACUCUUACAAACUGAAAUGUAAUGUAUUGAAUGAUAAUAAGGUGUUUACAAAGGGUGGCUGGCCAAUGCUUAUAUAGGCCUCCAACAAAUCCUAAUCUCACAAGUAACUAAUAAAAAAUUAAACCUAAUUAAUAAAAUAACAAGGUAAAUUCGGCCAUGCACUUAUAUGGGCUGUUUUGGGCCGAAUUUUACAUGUAAUGCUCCUAAAGAUUAAAAAAUUAAAUUAAACAAGUAAGAUGUUUACAAAUUGGGCCCUUUGACAUUUUGGCCUGAUUUUCAACUAAGUAUGAAGAAAUUUCUUGAUUGGGCUGGAUUUUGGUUAUUGGGCAUCGCCUUCAAGAAUUUGGGCUCGUGAUCCAUCUCCUACCAAAAUUGGGUCGUUGACGCUCGUAAUGGAGAUCCAUUGCGUUUUGGCUGCAAGAUUUGGUUUCUUGGACCAAGAUUUCCAAGAUUUGAAAUCUUGAUUUUCUUGAUUCUUGAAAUCUCUUCGAACAGCAAAAUUGGGCCAAGAUUCGAUUUCUUGAUUUUCUUGAAAACAAGAAAGUGAAUCUUGAUUUUCUUGUUCUCUCGUGUAUGAAUCUAAGGCCUUGCUAACAAGCUCUUGAAUGGUCCCAUUUAGUUUGGACCGCAUUUGUCGGGCCUUUGAUCUCGUUAAUGGGCCUUGUGGCAAUUUGAGCCCAUCACGUUCUUGAACUUGGAUUGGGCCUUUAUGACUUGUAUCAGGCGAUGGAACUUUCAGGAGCCUUACCUUUACUUGACUCGACAAUAGGCUUAUUCGCCUUAGAUAUUGUUGAAGAAUCCUUCGUUCGAUUUGUUGGAAAACCCUUGCUUGUGCUUUGGCCCCAUUUAGAAGGAUUGGUGUUAGGAUAGGCUCGGGUGGUACCUUUUCGCUUCAACUGCUUCUCCACUUUGAUAGCCAUGUGGACCAUGUCCACAACCUCAAUGUAAUGUUGCAGUUCUACGACAUUUGCAAUCUCUCGAUUAAGCCCCGCUAGAAAGCGAGCCAUUGUGGCUUCUCGAUCUUCUUGUAUAUCGGCACGGAUCAUAGCCACUUCCAUUUCUUUAUAAUAAUCUUCCACACUCUUCAUCCCUUGGAUGAGAUUUUGGAGUUUUUGAUGCAACUCCCGAUGAUAGUAGGAUGGAAUGAAUCGUCAUCGCAUAACCGCCUUCAUUUCAGUCCAAGUGGAAAUGGGAUGCUCCCCGUUACGCCUCCGACUAGGGGUCAACUGAUCCCACCAUAUCAUUGCGUAAUCUGAAAACUCAAUUGCAGCGAGUUUGACUUUCUUAUUUUCAGAGUAGUUAUGACAUUCGAACACUAGUUCGAUUUUCUUCUCCCACUCAAGGUACGCCUCGGGAUCAGAUUUACCUUGGAAAGGAGGAAUGGAGAGUUUGAUAUUCUUCAAGUCAUCAUCUUCCCGCCUUCGAUCUACUUGUCCACGGUUUCGGGGACGUCUCCUUUCUAGGCUUAUGUUAGACCCGUGAUCGCUUUCAUCUUCACUAUUUACAUUAACAUCAUCAUCUUGAACCCUUGGUUGUCUUCGUCGUUGAUUGGGCCCUUCACGUCUUUUCCUAGCAACUUCAGGAUAUUCAUCGCGUUGUCUUUGGGCCUUGACUUUGUAGAGUCGAUCUUCAAGAGGAUUAAGCCUUCGAUCAAGUAAUCGUUCCAUCUCACGCAAAAGGGCUUGCAUUUGCAAAUUUGGAACGUUUCUGACAGGUUGUUGCCCUUGUUGUUCUUCCAUGUUUUGUCCACUAUUUUGGGACAUCUAUUCGUUUAAGAUAGCCUCACAAACAAAUCCUCUCAAUCCGCUCAGAAAGAAAGAAGCUUGAUGACACUCACACUCGUGUUUACACUUUUAGUUCGACUUUUACCUCCCCUUGAAUGCGCUCACGCUCUCUUGCCUUUUACCUCUCUUGACUUUUCUCGUAAUUUCGUAAGCAGAUUCGUUAAGGCUCGGUCCUUGGUCUAGGUGGUCGGUUCAAAAGGGAUAGCAAGUGAUUGAUGUAUUCAAUAUAGGGUAGGCUGAAAGAAUAGGGAAUUAGGUAAAAAAAAUGUGGCAAAUUAGGGAGAGUAGAAUAGAAGAAGGGUCGGGAAUUAUAUCAGAUCAAAGCUUGACGAUCAAAUAACAAUUGAAUUGCAUAAAUCACUUUUUUUUCGAAUUUUUUUUAAUUUUUUUUCGAUUUUUUUUUGAUUUUUUUAAACUUGUAUAACUUUUUUUGUUGUACUAUAUCGACAAGCUAAAUACAAUAAAAGCACUUUUGUACACGAUUUUUUUUCUUCGACUGCGUAGAUUUUUUUGUUUUUAUAGCAACAAUAACAAACUAAUCGAAAUAAGAAAACUUCGGUAUACAAUUUUUUUUUCUGAACCUACCUCGGGAAUGCUCCGCUUCGAACGUCUAAGCUUCUCAUUUUAGGUAGCUCUGAUACCAGAUGAUACGAACCGUCUCGGGAAGAGUCGAGUCGUAUGUAAAUUGCCCGAUCGUCUACGAGAAGUUACAUUAGGUUUAGUUGAGUUGAAGGUAUGGUCAAAGUAGAAGAGGGGUACGAAUGGAAUGGUAGGAAUGAAAGGGUAGGAGCAAAAGGAUAUGAACAAAUUGGUCGGUUUAGGUUCGGUUAGGUAAAGAAGAAAGAACGGGUUUGAACUACCAAAGGUACUUUCAAGAACCAAAUACCGAAAAUGGUAUCGACCCGUUGAUUUAGCCUUUUGAGUUAGGUUAUAGGUUUGGUAAGGGAAACCUCGACCCACUAUCUAACAAGAUAGGAACCUCGGUAUGUUGAACGCCACACUACGAUUAGUGACAAGUUCAGGUACGACAAAGAACACGGUUGACACAACUAGAACGCUAGGAGCGCCAAAUGAAUCUUUGAACGAAAUAUAAGAAAAGUUUGCCUCAUGAUUUUGGCAGCAUAACAUUAACAAAAGUUUCAAAAAGUCCUUUACAGGGAAAUUGAACAGGUAUUUAUAAGCCUAAGUCUAGGUAGCCGAAUGGCCUUUCAUACUUACACAUUAAUUAAAAGAAAAUUCUAGAAAAAUAACUCUUAAUAUGCAUGACCAGAUUCAGUUUUGGGAACGGUGGAUGAAUGCAUCUUCAUGCUUAAGAAAACUCAAAGUGAAUGCAUGAUAUCCAAUGGUCACUUGUAGAUUCAGCCAACCUUGUUAAAUGAAGCAAUGUUUGGCCAAAAAGUAUGAAUUAAUUGUGGACACUCCAAGGGCCAUCAUGUGUGUGAAACCGAAUGUUGAAGAGUCUUCUAGUGUGAACAAGGUGAACCGAAUGGUCUUGCCAUGUGAACAUAGGUGUGAACGAAUUAAUGAGAGUCAUGAGGAAGCUAAUUGGCCAAGCUAUCUUCAUGCAUGUGUGAGUGCCCUUUGGCCGAAUGGUCACCUUGGAGAAUGAAGAGAUAGCACACCAUACAUGAAUGGAAACAUUCAUGAACCUUAAAGACAUUGAAUAUAGUCAUACAUGCACUUGGCCGAACAUGCACCUAAGAGAUUCAAGCCCCCCAACCGUCCAUGCACCUUCAAAAUUCAUGCUUGUUUUUAAUCUCCAUAUGUCCAUUGCGUUCCUACAAGAAAUGUGAACAUAAUUAAUUCAAACUAAUGUGAACAUAAAUAUCAACAUUAAAUUCGGUUAUGACAAAUUUAAUUAUCAUCAAUAAACACUUUUAAGACAUACUUAAUAUAACUAAUGUGAACUAAAUUUAAUAUGUAGGAUAUUAAUUAACUAAUUAUUGAACUUAUUAAUUAAAAAGUCAAUAGUAGUAAAAUGAAUUCAAAGUGAACUCCAUGAGCUGAUGGUUAAUUCAUGAGUUAAACCCGAGCUGGGCCUAAACUCGUGAGCUGAUAAUGAGUUGGUCCCGAGCUAAUGAGCUGGUGUGGAGCUACAUGGGAGCUAACUUGAACUGAAGGUGAGCUUGGUGAGCUGAAAUGAACUUGUAGAAAAGUUCGGCAUGGAUUUCCAAAAUGGCCACUAACUGGUUCGAUAGGUCUAUCAUUGACAUCAUCCCACACAUGCUGAACUAAAGCUAUAACAACUUCUUUAAAUUGUUUUACACGAGCCCUUGUGAUCGGCCCUUGAGGUAUCACCAUCGGAUCUCGGCUUGGACUUGGCUUAUGGGAAGCCGUGAUCGUAUCAACUCGACUCUUCUCGAGGCGGAUCGUAUCAUACGUACUUCUCGUUUGAGUAGCUCUGAUACCAAAUGAUACGAUUCGACUCAAAAGAGUUGAGUCGUAUUCGUAGUUGCCCGAUCGCCAACAAGAAGUUACGUAAAGUUUAGUUGAAGGAGUUGGAUAGUUGAAGAAAGGCUAAGAAAGAAAUGUUAAGAAAGGUUCAAAUAGGUAAGAUGGAUUGAGUAAAAAAAGGUCGGUAUGGUAAGAAAUGGACGAUUUUGUCGAUUUGGUACGAACUGGUUUCGAAAGAAAUAUAUGGAUUGAACCAAAAGUGUAAACAAGAACCAAUACCGAUAUGGUAUCGACCUGUUGUUUAUAGGCCCUUUGAGUUUGGUUUAGGUUUGGUAAAGGAAACCUUGACCCACUACCUAAUAAGAUAGGAACCUCUGUAUGUUCGAACGCCACACUACGGGUAGUGAUAAGUUCAGGUUCGACAAAGAAAACGGUUGACACAACUAGAUCGCUAGGAAAGCCAAUCAAAUAUUUGAACAAAAUGGAGAAAAAGUUGCCUCACAAUUUUGGCAGCAUAACAUUAGCAAAGAGUCCAAAAAUCAUCAUUCCAACUUAAUUCAUCGAUGCAUCUUGCCGUCCAAGGAGUGAUGUACCUGCAACAUUAAAAUCAAGCAUUAAUCACCAAUGUGAACACAUUAAGGUGGCAGCAAAUAUUAACAUAUUAAACACACUCAUAAAUUCGGCUAACACAAUAAAUAAUUGUAGUAAUUUGGACACAUUAAAUCCUAGUUCAACCAAGACAUAUUAAUAGCAUGUAAUAACCUAAUUAAAUUCGGCACACCUAUUUAAAAUGUCCAGAAUUAAAAAAAUUAAUUAUUUAAAUAAAUAUGUUCAAAUUUAUUUAAUGCAUCAAUCUUAUUUAAUAGCUAGGGACGAAUAGACUUAUUGAGCUCGAUAUAGGUGCAUGAGCUAGUGAUGAGCUAGGGGCAAGCUCGUGAGCUAAAUCCGAGCUAGGUUCAGACUCGUAAGCUGGACCCGAGCUGGGGAGCUGGACAUGAGCUGAAUCUGAACUAGUAGCAAGUUGUGAGGUGAACUGGAAGAGUUAAUAUAAGCUUUCUCGCUGCGGCUGGGUUGAGUUUCAUCCCAAAUUCAAGCUACAAGAGCUGAAAUAGAAUCUUUGAAAGCCUUAGCUCGAGCUCGGGUGAUAGGGCCUUGUGGUAGCGUCAGAUGAUCUUUACUCGAACUAGCUGAACCGUUGGGUGCGUCGCAUCAGAAGCAACCUCAUAAAACUGAGUUUCAUUAAACAAAUUGUCAAAAGUCCUUUUACAAAGUAAUAAACAAACUAUUUAUAGCCUAGUAUGUGAUAGCCGAAUGGACAAAAUUAACUAGCUUAAAGGCUAAGUAAUUCAACUAAGAAUGCACUAGAAAAUUCUAGAACAAAUCAUUAAAAAGGCCAAUUCCACAUUCGGCUGAAUAUAACUCUAAUGGGUAGCUUCAUGAUUAAGGAAAAACCAUUUGAAAGAUGAUGAAUGAAUGGCAGUUUAAUGGCUUGUCUAAAUUCAGCUAUGGAAUGAAUGGAGCAUUCAAGAAGUGUCUCUUGACCGAAUAGACACCUAGGGGAGUCAAUUGGUCAGCAAACAAUUCAUGUAUCAAGAUAUGGAUGCAUUCUCCCAUUCGUUGUAACUUGCUGUCCAUGCAUCUUCAUUAAACUUCAUCCAUGAUUCCUUGGCCGAUUAGGCAUUUUGGGAAGCCAACCAUCAGCUUGAAAUGCAUGUAGCAAACCAUUCAUGAACCCUCCUUAGCCUUAAACCUGGUCGUGCAUGUAUCUUCUGAUGUGAGCUUGCCUACGAACCAAAUGGAGAACGAACAAGAAGCCAUCAAGCUGCCCAUUGGUCCAAUAACGCGAGCUAGAGCUAAACGAUUCAAAGAUGCUAUUUUAGCAAUGGUGGAACGGGUUGAGGAAAAUGAUAGCAAGGAGUUUAAAAACGAGCUGAACAUAUUCAACUUCUUUGAAGCUGAAUUUCGUUCUAGCUAAUUAAUUUGAUGCUGGAAUUUAGACCAUUUAAAUAAACAUUUAAAUAAGUUUCAUUAUAGCUUUUAAAUAUGUCUUAAUUAAUUUAAGUGUUUAAUAUGUCUUGAUUUAGUUAAAUUAAAGAUGUCUUGAUGUCAUUUAGUUUGUCUAAAUUAUUACAUGUUUUAAAUUUGUCCAGCCGAAUUUAUGUGUUAUGAUUUGUUAAUAUUUAAGUUGUCUCAAUGUUAUUUAGGAUGUUCACAUUAUACUUUAAUUUAGUUCAGCUGAAUUUGCUUGAAAUUAAUUAAGUUCAUGUGUGUUUUUAGGUGCAGCCGAAUUUGAAGAUGAAUUGGGUAGAUUCAUGCAUGGAGAUUCAAUGAAUUUGAAGAUGCAUGUGCAGCUGAUUUAAUGCAUUAAAGCUGAUUAAUCUUUGGAGUUUUUUUCAAGGCAACUAUUCAGCCAAAGUGACCAAGCUUUUCAUCUUUUCAAGGUUGGCCGAUUCUCUUCUCAAGGAAGUAUAAAGGCUGUUCACACUAUGGCUGUUCGGUUCAGCCAUGUUCACACCUCAUGGCCCUUCAAAACCAUCCGUUCAUACUUCUAAAUGGCUGUUCAAAUUGCCAAUUAAUGCUGGUAAUUUUUCAGCAAUAGUUGCUUCAUGAAUGACCCCAUUAUGUUCAUUGACCGAACCUAGCCUAUUCAUGCACAUCCAAGAUGUUCAAGGUGCAUUUUCCCAUCUAGAAGAUGACCAUUGGAACUCUCAUUCAGCCGAAUCUACAUGGGCUAAUAAUUUUGCAUUCAUGCUGAAUUUUAGUUCAUUGUUUACUUAGAAACUAAGUCUUGAAUUUGUCCAUUCGGCUACUAGUAGAAAGGCUAUAAAUAGUUGUUAAAUUUCUUGUAAAAGGACUUUUGACAAAUCUCUGAAUGAAAUAUCAUUUUAGUGAGGCAAUUCACUCUCUUUAUUCUUCAAAGCUCAAUUGACUUAUCUUUACGAGUGGCGUCAAUCUGACUUUGUUUCGAACUUAUCACCAUAAGGUGUGGCGUUCCAACUAUACCGAAGGUUCCUAUUUUGCUAAAUAGAGGGUCUCGGUUUUAUCUACCAUUUCUUUCCUUUUCUUUGAAACCUUUAAGCCCGGGUCCUUAUUUGUUAAUAAGGGUUCGUUCUUGUUUCAUUGGAAACCAUUUAUCCCCAUUUUGCUUCCUAAUUCAUUUAAAACCAAUAUAACUCAUCUUAUUGAAUUUUGAACUAAAUCGACACUACCUAAAUUCGAUCGGGAACAUAAUACGACUCAUCACAUCAUCCAAAUCGAGCUUGUAUCAUCUUCCCAUUCAUUGAAUAAAACCAUGCAUGCACCUAGCCUUAAAUGCACUUCCAUAUUAAACUGAACCUACAAGGGAAAUGAACACAAUUAAUUAAAAUAUAUAUUCAUUUAGACAUAAUUAAAUAGCAACUAAACAACUGAAAUAACAAUUAACCAAUUUGGACACAUUAAAUUAAAACUAACUAGCAUAUUAAAUUUGGCUAGCUCAAAUAAACAUAAACUAUUAAUGAACUGAUUUGAGCUAGGGAAUUCGGCUUGAGCUGUAGCAAAUUGAGUUAAAAUAAAGUUAAAACUUAGUUUAUUGAAAUGGAAAAAGAAAUGAGCUGGAAAGAAGCUAAAUUGAGCUUAAACGAGCUAAAACGAGCUCAAGUGUGCUAAUUGGAGCUGAGUUGAGCUCAGGUAGCUGGAGAGGAGCUAAAGUCAGUUUGCACAAGGGCUUGUGUAAUGAGUCUUUAAAGAGUUGUCCCCAGCUUCUUUAAUGACAAAGGGCUUUGUUUCAUCCUAAAUUCAAGUCAAUAAAGAUUUAAAGCUUCUUGGAGCCGCCUAGUGCGCGCUUGAGUCAUGGGGCCUUUCGGAAGCUCGAAUGGAUCUUGGUUCAUCUUUGUGGAACCCCUGGGCGUGCUUACAUCAUUCCCUCUUCUUCAAAAUGACUUGUCCUCAAGUCGAGUCAUUUGUUCACUUUAGUUCGGGAGAUAAAAGACCUGCCAGAAAUUUGAUUAGGAAUCAAAAUUUGACAACUAUUAAUUUUAUCAUCAUGAAAGAGUAAAAACUUGAAUUCAAGACAAACUAGAAAUGGACCAAUGCUUUUUGUUUCACUAAUAGAUGAGGGAUUACCAUUGAUGAGGUAAAGGUUGGGUCUUACCUUUCCAAUUUGACUAUCCAUCUUCGGCAAUAGAAAUAGUGUAUGAAUCAUUUGAAAGGGAUAUCCAUAAGAUGUCAAUAAAAUUUUUGAUCAAACAAAUAGUCCAAGCAUAAUUGUAUCAAAACAAAUAUGAUUCAUAUAAGCGAACGUAUUCAAAACACCAUUUUCACAAGCGAAUGGAUAGAACGUCUUACAUAAUGCUUCAUCAAUCAAAGAAUAGCAAUUGGUCGUAUCAAUGGAUGGAUCCUUUUUCGAACAUAAGUCAUGAGCAAAAUAUCAAUUCGAGUCGAAUAGAGUGGGCUAAGAACUAAUGAAAACUCACCUUGCUUACCGUUGGGACUAGGGAGAUGAAAAUCGAUUUUACCUUUUUCAACCAACAUAAACCUUCUUUCCUUGGAAAGGUGUUAAAGUUGAAGCUCAUCACAUGAUCCUUGAGAAACCUUUUCGAGAGUUAACAUCAAUUUCGUGUACAACCACAUAAAAUGAUCAAGGAACGAUUUUAAGUUGUAAUCAAAAUUUCCAAAUUUCAUUUCCUUAAUCAAAGACCAGGCAUCAUACAAAUUGUUCGCACGAAGUUUAGGGUGCUUGAGUUUCCCAAAAUAUAAUCCAAAAUAGUAAAUUCCUGGUUUGAACACACGGGUUUGUUUACUUAUUCCAAAGUGUAGCAAAGAUUUCAUUUUACCAUUAAAUCAAAUAUGCUGAACCAAAAGGAUUUGUGCAUAUAAAGAAUCAAACAAUCAGAUCUCUUUACGUUCACUAGAACAGAUGUGCACAAAUUCAAAGAUUUCACACAAGGCUUUAAAUAAUUUGUAUAAUCAGCAUGAUCAACCAACUUAAACGUUCAUUGUGAAAGCCCGUUAUCAUGCAAGAUUAUAUUUCGUGUUUGUUGAUCGAUCUAGUUGAAUUAUGUCAACAGGUUUUUCGUCGCAAAACAAAUAUAGAGAACAACUCCUCAUACUUCCACUUAGAACGAGUUUAUCAACCACAAACAAAGGAUAAUGAUACGAUCCGCCUCGGGAAGAGUCGAGUCAUAUGCUGAGUUGCCCGAUCAUCUUAACGAGAAGUUCCAUUUGUAACUUUAAGGCUUAGGCGAUAAAGGAUGGAGUGGUGUUGGUUGCUAAUGUUUGACAAGGGUGGUCGUAGGGUAUGGAAUUGGGUAGCUUAAGAACAAGUAGAACCGGCACUAAAAAGUGACGACCUGAAACUUAUGGUUUCUUAAGGUGGAUGGUUAAAACGAUAAAGCCGUGACCCACUAUCUAUGAAGAUAGGAACCUUGGUAUAGGCUUGAAAGAAACAGGGUUGACGCCACUACUAGGUAGAUAAGUCAACAAAGUCUCAAACAAAGUUUAGAGAAGAAAAUUCUCACAUGAUUAAAUUCAAUAAAAAUUUUGGCAAAAAGUCCCCUACAAUUGAAAAUAACUAACUAUUUAUACUAGUAUCUCAUGCGAGCCGAAUAGUCAUUCAUGAACUUAAUAAUUAAGUAAUGUACCUAAUUAAAACAUGAAACUUCUAAAAAAAUGUCCAAUGAUGUUCUUGUCCAUGUUCGGCCGAAUGGGAAGUGAGUGGUUAGCUUCAUGAAUAUGCAUUGAUGUACUUGGAUAAAUGUUCUUCAUGCAUGCAUGGCUAGAUUCGGCUAACUCCUUUAAUGGAGCCUUUAAUUCAUGUUGUUUCACCAUGAGUGGCUUAAUUAAAUGAGGUUUCAUGAAGGUUCAAACUUGGUGUGAACAAGGAGAUUGAGUAGAAUCUUGUUUGUGAAUAUCCAACCGAAUGGUCAUCAUGGUGUGAACACAAGGUGUGAAUCUUCAUGAUCAAUACAUGAACUGUCGAAUGCAUGGUCCAUCAUUAAUUUGAUCCAUGAAUCUUCAAAUACAUGAAUGACCAUCAUGAACAUGCAUAUGCCUCUUGAUUGCCGUCCAUUGAACCUUUCUAUGCAUGCACCUUGCAUUAAUUCCUUACAUGCAUGUGCCGUCCAAAGGGAUGUACCUACAUGAAAUAAACAAGUCAUUAAGACAUCUCAUGAACACUCAUAAAUUCGGCAUGAUGUGAACACAUUAAUGUCAUGCAUUAAUUCAGCUAUGUGAACAUAAUCAAUUUAUGUAAUGACUAUGACAUAUUAAUAACAAAUAUUAAUAUAAGACAAGUUUAUUGCUUAAAUAAAUAUGUGCAAAUUUUUAUUUAAUGCAUUAAAGACAAAAUCGAGUUUAAACUAAAAUGAGCUAAGCUUUAGCUCGUGAGCUAAAGUUGAGCUGAGGCUAAACUCCUAAGCUGAAGUUGAGCUAAGGUUUAGCUCGUGAGUUGAAAAUGAGCUAGGAGUGAGCUCGAUUUAGCUCAGGCAAGAUGGAUUGAGCUCGAAUAAGCUGGAUUUGAGCUGGACGGAGCUCGUGGAGCUGGAAACGAGCUAGGAUCAGCUUACCAACAUGUCAAUACUCGGAUUGACAGACUUGUUCGAUGAAGUUCGUGGGAUGUGCUCGUAUCAACGUACGACAAAAUCAUUCGGGAAUAGUACAAGUGAACGAAAGUAAGUAGGAUCUGAAAAAAAAGAGUAUUAAAUUUUCGUAUACUGAAGUUUUCUCAUUUUGAUUAGUUUGUUGCUGUUACUAUAAAAAUAAAAAUCUACGCAGUUGAAGAAAAACACAAUCGCGUACAAAAGUGUUCCUAUUGUAUUUAGUUUGCUGAUAUAGUACAAAAAAAGUGAUACGAGUCAUAAAGGCCCAAUCCAAGUUCAAGAACGUGAUGGGCUCAAAUUGCCACAAGGCCCAAUAACGAGAUCAAAGGCCCGAUAAAUGCGGUCCAAACUAAAUGGGACCAUUCAAGAGCUUGUUAGCAAGGCCUUAGAUUCAUACACGAGAGAAUAAGAAAAUCAAGAUUCACUUUCUUGUUUUCAAGAAAAUCAAGAAAUUGAAUCUUGGCCCAAUUUUUGCUGUUCGAAGAGAUUUCAAGAAUCAAGAAAAUUAAGAUUUCAAAUCUUGGAAAUCUUGGUCCAAGAAACCAAAUCUUGCAGCCAAAACACAUUGGAUCUCCAUUACGAGCGUCAACGACCCAAAUUUGGUAGGAGAUGGAUCACGAGCCCAAAUUCUUGAAGGCGAGGCCCAAUAACCAAAAUCCAGCCCAAUCAAGAAAUUUCUUCAUACUUAGUUGAAAAUCAGGCCAAAAUGUCAAAGGGCCCAAUUUGUAAACAUCUUACUUGUUUAAUUUAAUUUUUUUAAUCUUUAGGAGCAUUACAUGUAAAAUUCAGCCCAAAACAGCCCAUAUAAGUGCAUGGCCGAAUUUACCUUGUUAUUUUAUUAAUUAGGUUUAAUUUUUUAUUAGUUACUUGUGACAUUAGGAUUUUUUGGAGGCCUAUAUAAGCAUUGGCCAGCCACCCUUUGUAAAAACAUCUUAUUAUUAUUUUUUCUAUCAAAUUUUAGAUUUGUUGAGUGCAGAAUUUUCUUUGGGGUUUUCUCCAAGAAUUCUCUCUUGAGUUUUCUUUAGAAGUUGUUUUAACAAUCUUUUGAUUGUGGGAGCCAUCUUCAACCUUAUUCUUGCCAUCGAUAUUCUUUGGAGGGGAGAUUAGAGCCGUUUGAAGAGAUUCAUGAAAUCUUUCGGGAUUUUAAGGAUCUUUAGGACUUCAAUUUACUUUCUUGCUGUUCAUUCUUUUCUUUUAAAUUCUGUUUAUGCCGAUUCUUUUGAUCUAACUGAUACGGCGACGCCUUGGGCACACUUUUGGACCAGCUCCCUAAGCAUUGUUUGCAAAUCCAUGCAAGCUGAAUUAGUUCAAUUCCUUCUCAUUGAGCUCUGUUUAGCUUGUUUCCAGCUCACUCGAGCUCAAGUCAACUCAUUCAAGCUCAAUUCAGCUCAAUCUUAACCCAAUGAGCUUAUUUUUAGCUUUCUUUAGCUUGCAUUUAUUUUCCUGAAAUAAAUCAUUUAAUUUGUCUUUAGUUGAAUUAGUUGUUUAUUUUAAGUUAAUUAAUUUGUUAAAUCUGGACAAAUAAUUAAUUAAGUGUUUUAAUUAUAUCUAAAUUAAAUACUUAAUUAAUUAUGAUGUUUUAAAUAUGUAUGAAAUUGUUAAUAUGUAUGGCCAAAUUUAAUGUGCAAAUUAUUGAGUUCAUAUGCUGCUAAUUUAAUGUGUUUGAAAUGCAUUUAACUUGCUGAUUUAAUUUGCUGCAGGUUCAUGAACGGAUUGGUGCAAUGUAUGGGAGUGUGCAUGCACAAUUGAGGUUCAAUGGAUGGCAUUUAAAGGAUCACAUGCAUUUGGGACGUUCAUGCAAGAGGGAGUUGCUGAAAGUUCAUGUAUUUGAAGAUUCAUGGAUCAUAUUUAUGGGGGAAAAUACAUGGGACGUUUCAUGCAUGAUUCAUGCAUUUUCAAGAUGACCAUUCAAGUAUUUUAGGCACAUUAAUGCCUCAUUCAGCCAAGGGAGAUGUAGGAUCAUUAAAGAGCUGCACAUUCAUGGAAUUAUGGAGAUUCUUCAAGGCUAACGAUGCAUGAAUGCAUCAAGUGAAGCAUCAUGAUGGUUCGGCCAAUUCAUGUACCAUCUUCAAGCAUGAACUGAAUUUUAAUGCUAUUUGUGUGAACAUGUUAAAUACCUGUGUGAACAGAAUUUAAGUUAGUGUGAACAACAUAGAUGCCGAAUAUCAAUAGGCAUUUUAGGCUUAUAAAUAGCUUACUUGUUUAUUGUAAAAGGUUACAGAAUUUGAUCAAUUAAACUUAAUAGAACUUUUGUUCUUGUGAGGUUACCUCCUCUCUUCUUUCGUUCGAGUCUCGAAGCGACUUAUCUAGCUUGCUAGUGGUGUCAAUCCGAACUCCAUUGAACUUAUCACCGAAUCGGUGUGGCGUUCAACCAUCUUCCUAUACCUUUGGUUCUUACCUCCAUAUAGGUAACGGGUCAAGGUCCGCUUCUAUCCUUCAUCAAAAUUCACCUUAAGCAAUAUAAGACUCGGGGCAAUACUUUUUAGUAUUGAAUCAUUCUUAAAGUUUGAGUUCUUUAUCCAUUUCCAUUUAUUUAUCAUCUUUGUAACUUAAUUCUUUGUUAAACCGAACCUAUCUUUCAUCAAACCAAAACCCAUCCUUUGAACCCAUUUUGCCUACCUUUCGCUUAUAAAACAUUCAAACUCCAUCUAUCUACAAAUUUGAACGAGCUUCUCGUCGACGAUCGGGCAUCUUAAGUGAACCCGACUCAAUUAAUCGGGCCGGAUCACAUCACUAACUUGUUUAUUCUUCUUGUGAAUUUCCAGCCAUCUUUAUUACUCAAAAAGAUCGAUCGGUACUCAUUCUUGGUAGCCAAAUUCGACUAAACUUAUCUUUUCCAAUUAAUCUUGUCGAAUUCUUCUUGUCAAAACUGAUUGUUUUAGGUUGCUGGAAUUUUGGAAAAAAUCAAGUUGCUGGAAUUUGGGGCUUUAUUCAUCGGUUUAGUUCUUGGACAGAUUCGGCUUGUUGAAAAUCAAUCUUGGAGAUCAAUUUCGUGUUUUUGCAUUCCGAAAACAUCUAUUCAUAAGAUCUUUGAUUCUUGGCUGUUCUUGAUUGUUUUGGGGAUCUUAAUUUCCAGAUCUGAUUUGUUUUUAAUCUUAUUCUUUGUUUUGAUUUCAGAUCUGUUCGAUUAGAGCUUUCGUAGGAGUUUCUCGUGACUUGGCAACUCGAUCUUGGUCCGCGCGCAACCCUAUAUCAUUUGGUAUCAGAUUUUGGGCGUUUUGGGUGUUCUUGGUUGAUUUCUAAACUGAUCUCUAUUUUUUACAGCAUAAACAGCAAUUUUACCCAGAAAAUUUGUUCAAAAAAAUUCAUUUGAGUGGGUAAACGUUGUCAAAUUGAUCUGAAAUUUUACAUACAUGUUUUUGGCACUGUGAUUGAAUAUAAAAAAAUUAUUCCCGAAAAAAAAUCAGUCAAAAAAGUCAAAAAAAUCAAAAAAAGACGAAAUUCAAUAAAAAUUUUAAAAAAGAUUCAGCGGGUUGAAUUUGGUGCCCAAAAUUUCCAGAUCAAAAAUUCAAUAUAUAAGGACACUCCAUAUUUAAUUUUGUGAUUUUUGGAUAUCGGGAACACCUCGAACGAAGUUGUC